UGAAAUGUCUGGCCCACGGUAAACAAGUACGGACGCUGCAAAUAAUCUACUCUGCUCGUCCAGUCCCUAGCCUAUAAAUAGAUGCCAUGCUAGCUCUUGUUGUGCUCACAAUUAAUCCUGACUACACACGAGCUUCUCUCCCUGGCCAAGACACAAUCAUAGUAUGAUGAAGAACAUGGCACUAGCCGGCAAUGGUAUGAAGAACUUAAUCCUCGCUGUUCUCUUACUGUGUCUAGUUAUAGGGCAGAUACAAGUGGAAGCUAAGAGCUGCUGCCCAUCCAUUACUGCAAGAAAUAUCUACAAUGCCUGCCGUAUCACGGGUACAUCCCGUCCAACGUGUGCAAAACUGUCAGGCUGCAAAAUUAUCAGCGGGGACAAAUGCAAGCCCCCUAACGACCACCUCACCCUUGACCCGGACACUGGUAAAUAAUAAAUUUAUCUCACUUGAUUUCUUCGUGUUUUGAGUCGUUAAUGUAUUUUCCAUCUGAUGAAACGUAUUGGUUUUGCAUUGAAGAGGAAGUUAAUGUGCUUAACUUCUGCAAGUUGGGGUGUGCGUCGUCUGUGUGCAACAACAUCAACGCUGGUAAGCACCUUUUGCUCAGACGGAGAAAACAAUAAUCAUUAAUUAGCGGCAGCUAGAAUCCUAUAAUCUAAUAUAUUUAUAUAUAUAUAUAAUUUUAUCAGCUCUGGGAAAUGAAGAGGCGAACGAUGCCGUUGAGAGUUGCGACCAAGCCUGCUCUAGCUUCUGCAACGUGCACGUUGGCGCUGCCACCGUGGUUGCUUAAGCAAAUGCAUCCAACUGGAUCGUCCUUGUGCUAAAUAAUUGGAUAUCGUAUCCACUUAAAGCUGCCUUGUGUAGUACGUUUUUGUUUGUGUCUCUCUUUAUAUUCCAAUAAGGUCGGUGAUCUUGAUGCCACACACUCAGACGUGUGUUCAUCUCCAGAUACUACUCCAUGCUACCUGCCCUUUGUGUUUUGUUCAAUAACUGGGUAUCAUAUCCCAGCCAGUGUGCCAUCUGUUUUGUGUUUAUUUCCUUCUAGUUUCAAAGGGGUUAUCAUGAUGUUACCUUCUUUCGAUAUGGUGCUUUGCAUGACUACUGUUGUAUGGUACCAUCUUGUUGGCCAAUAAAUACAUCUUAUCCUAUGACCCUUUGCUAUGACCCUUUGCAAAUAAGUACAAGAUUGUUAAAUACUCGGUAUAAAUUGACUACUGCUGUGAGUUCCCUUUCAGCUUAUCGUAGGCAUACAUUAUUGCUAGCACGGUGAAGACAACCAACACGAAUGGUCAAGUAAACGUACCGGUACUUUUGUAUACCAACACCCUUGCUUAAAUGUACCGGUGUUACUCCCCACUAGCACAUAUAUUCUUAUAUGCUAGCCGGCUUGAAAAUUAACCGAUUAAAAUAAUUAUUUCAAGACAGAAAUAACUUAUCGGCUUCUCGAAGCAUGUGUAAUGUGAAUUCAAGGACUUGAUGGAAGUUGAAUCGCUUAAUCUAGAUUGCUUUCAGGAUUUUGGGUAACUAAAUUUAACAUUUGCACAUACAAAUGUUAAUGUACAAAUAUUAAAUAUAGUUACCCAAGCAGAAUAUGAAGAUACUCUAUAGUAUAUAUAUACUAUAUAAAUCUAGUUAACAUUUAGUCUAAAUGUUAAAUCUAGUUACCUAAAAUCCUGAAAGCAAAAUGUAUAAAUAUAUAUCUUUUAAGGAAUCCCAAAGCAAGAGUUCAGUGGCAUUCUAUAGUCCCAUGCUGCUAGUUUGAGUUGGUCGAAGCCAACUUAAAUAGGAGAGCUCUCUCACUUCUCUAAAUACGUAACUGAAGGAGAGAAGGGGGCUUGGUUACACAACGCACGCACGCACGCAUAUUUGCGUUCUUUUCGCGUAACCAACCGCGUGACUUGAAACUUGCGACGUAGCGUGCUGCCAAGUCAAGUUGAUAUAACCUUUUUGCCGUAGGCGUGUAAUCUUUUGACAACGGUCAUUGGAGGUGAUAAGCACGCAGUCAAUACCUUAAUCCUGAGUUAAUAGGGCGGUUACUACUGCCAAUUAGUGGGGCAAUUUUGUAGGGGAAACGGUUAGCAGAGGGCUACCAUCUUCUCUAUAAGAAGUUCUGGAGACGUCCAGGAACACACAUGUACAUGUGAGAGACCCACGAAUUCCUUCCCAUCUCCCUUUUCCAUCUGGUGAAGUGUGCUAUGGUACUGAGCUGCUGGAUCUCGCCGGCUCUUCUCCUUGGCGUGCACCGAGGAGGAGGGUGAGCGGUAUCUCCGAGCUAUUGCCGUCAGGAAGCCUGCACGAGGGACAACAAUAAAGUUUUUGGGUAGCGCAACUACGCAACCGCUCGAUUCGAUCGACUAUGUUCUGCGCUGCCUCAUCUUCGAUCUGCACUGCAACACGUAACCCUGCAGCAAGUCUACACAAGGACGGAGCACUAAUCUGUAAGUCCUAGAUUGGUUUCUUACAGAGUUGUAGGUUACACAAGAUCUAGAAUUGUUACAUACUUAUUAUUAUGGGUUACAUGAUGUUUUGUACGGUUACGUCUAUUUUGCAUAUGCUAUUUUUACAUACCGUUUACAUGCAUAUGUAAUGGUUACGCCUAGCUAUUUGAAUCUAGAAUUGGGUUACAUAGCAGUAGCAAUGACUUACGUAAUAUGCCUCAUGUUUAUAUCUGGUAGAAUUUAACACGUAUCUCCAACAUAUUUUGAGGCAGUAUAAAUUUCAAUUCCUUUUGCUGCUCUGUUAAAUCCCGUCUUUCGUGUGGCCCAACACUCUAGUAUGCAUGUAGCACCAAGCUUGUUUGAGCCGCUUUGUGCUCUGAUUUUGCUGUCUGUAUCAGGUUGGACUGUUUCUUUGUCUUGCGAUGUAUAGCUUCAUAUCUUCUAGAGGUUAGACAGCAAAACCCGCGUUCUCUUAAGGCAACAACUCGAAGAAUCUGCAGCGCUCCUGAUAUAUCACUGCUGCAGAAACAAUCUUUAGUACUGAUUUCCAACCCCCUUUAGUAUCGGUUUGGCAAUCAGUACCACUACGUCGGUACUAAAGGGAGUUCUCUAGAAUCGGGUCAAAUAACUGGUACUAAAAGUGCUCCUCUACUACCAGUUGGUAACACCAAUAGGUAGUAACUUUUUUUGCACCCAAAAAAUUAAAGAAAAACAGCCGGGAGGCUCGCGCACACACGCAUCAUGAGUAAUAUGCGCGUGCAUGGUUUGUGGGAUUCCAACCCACGACCAAGCUAUAAGCACGUAGUUACAAAAAAAUUAAACACUUAGACAUUUUAGAGCAUCCCAAAUAACUACAAAUUCUUUAGUUUACCAUAUACCAUAAAAUAUUAGUUAAAAUAAGAGCAUACGCACGUCGGAAGAGUCCCAAUGCACCGGUUGAGGAUCAGACCAGGCACUUUGAAUGCACAUGCCAUAAGAUAAUUCUGCAGGACGAUGAUUGCAAUAAUGGACCAUCGAGAAGAUAGGGGCGAUGGGGUUGCCUCAUCAAUUAUGACUUGGCGCAACAAGACCAGCAAAGUCUUUAUCGACAGGGGUGGAUCAAGGGGUGGGGCGGGUAGAGCUCCAAUCUUCCUACCGCCGCUCGAACAAUGGAGCCCCCCUUAGCCCCUCCAUAAAUUUUUAGGUAGAAGAAAAAAGAAGAGAAGGGAAGGAAGGGGAAGAAUAGGGAGCCCCUCCUAAGUAGGUCGCCAUCGUGCUUCCCAACGCAUGAUCGCCGCACCGCAUCCAUUCCUCUACAAGCCUCCAGCGUCUCUCCUGCCGCUACCUCUGAACCAUGUGCAGCUGCAGACCCAACUAGUGUCUUGUCACCCAUCUCAAUCCCAACAGAGCGGCGGCUCCUGCCAGCACAAAUCUCCCUCCGCCUGUUCUUCACGAUCGAUGGCCACCACAAGCAUAAACCUCGCCUUCGCAUCCACGCAAAAGGGUCGCCGGUGUGCCUUCUCGCAUCGCUUCUCAGCCUCCUUCACUUGCGGCUGGCCAAGAACCGUGCCACCACCUCGGGUGCGCGCCACCGCUCCAGGGCCGCUACCCCAUGCGUGCGGCCGCCGCCGGCCACCACGCGUGUGCAACCGUGUCGCACCGCUUCCCUGCUCUGUGCCACCACUGCUACUGCACCACCAGCUCCACCACCUUGGGCUGGUCGCCAGGGUGACUGAUUGGUGGAUUAUUACUACAAAUAAGUUCCUUAUUAUCUGCAACUACUAUUAACUCAGGGAUACAUGCGUCUUUUGCUUCUCCUGUUAAUAUGUCCUAAAAUAUCUAGAAUGCCUUAUAUUUCUGGACGGAGGAAGUAUUUGAAUAAAAUGAACCAAUUUUAAAAAAUGUGUUGUACACUACUACAGAAAGAACUAUCAGUGUCAAACCCAAAAAUGUCGUCACUGCCAGUUUUGGGCAUCGUUGGUGAAAGGUUGGCGGUGAUGGGUAUCCCCUUCAACAACGGCACUAGAGCUAACAGUGAUUGACAUUAGAAAACGAAAAAGGGGACCCACCUAGCCACCCCUGCAACCCGGCUGGCCGUGCCUCCCGUCAUCCCCACCACCUCGCCUCCCCCGUGACCCCCCGCCGGCGCCCUUGCGCCUAGCCCCCUCGCCUGCCUGGCCGGCCACCCUCGUCACGAGAGAGAGGGGUGCAUGUUGUAUAAUUGCGUGAAUUUUUAAUGUUUAAUUUCAUGUAAGUUUCAUAUAAUAAAUUGUACAAGUUUUAUUGUAUAUAUGAAUUCCAUAUAUAUAUAUUUAUAAUUUAAUGUAUGGUUUCAUGUGUAUAUUUCAAUAAUGUGUAUAUUUAGUAGAUAGCCGAUUUUCUUUUUCUACAAGACAAGGGUUGAUGUAUAAUUACGUGUAUAUGUUUAUUGUACGGGCAAUUAGGACAAGUUUUGUAUAAAUUUCUUUUAUUUCAUGGUUGUUGUAUGGUUUCAUGUAUAUACAUUUAUUGUACUACUUGAGACAAUUUUUAAUUUAAUGUUUCUAUGGUUACAUGUGUGUAUAACUAAUUGUAUUAUUAGUUAAGAUGGGAGCCAAAGAGGAUGAAAGGUAUAUAAUGGAGCAGAUUAUUGCUGGCGGUAGUGGCUCAAACGUUGCAAGAACCUACAUCAAGGGUGAGGGUAGCUAGGUGGACAUGUACCUCAACAUGUCCAGUGAUGGCAAUGACGAUGAGGAGCACGAGCAUGACGUUUAUGAUAGUGCGGAACAAGACAUUGCAGAAUUGGAAGGUUCUAAUGAGGUGUGCUUCAUGUUGAUGAUCUGGUUGGCUUUUUUUCUUUGGUCACACCUUAGUUACCAUAGAACUUCGUCUCGGGAGAAGAUUGGAGGUGCUAUGGUGAUUGGAAUUUUAUUGCCUCCAAAUAUGAUUUCCAUCGAAUCAUAUCCCUUGUAUUUAUCUUCUUUUUAUUUGUGAGAGCAUCUUCUUUAUGCUUGCAAAACAAUUCAAGUGCACAUACUACACCUAGGGUGAUGAUUAGGAGUAGAAACAAUUGCCAACAAACGAACACCACAUCCUAAGAUUCUUAACUUGUGGUAUAAUUAGUCUAGUAAAAAGAAAGAUAAAAACCUAAUGGGUGUACGUGAGUGCAAUGCGUAUAUGCAUAUGAGUGGAAGGCAUAUAAGCAAAGAUAAUAUUUACACAUAGAUCUAAGCACCAUGUUUACAACUAAGUUGCUGAAUUUCUCCAUAGCUAUAGAGAUUAAUGAACCAAGGUCAAAACACCAUGUCUAUCCCAAGAUCAGUAAUUCUUUAUAGCACAAGAAAAAGAAAGCGCAUUGCAAAGUUUAUAAACCAACCAAUGCAGCAUGAAAACAAGAUGAAUAGCUAGCAAGGUUUAUUAAACUGAAUGAUGACGGUCUGCAAGCAAGUUUGAACACCAUCUUUACACAAGAUUGCAAAUGGAAAAUUCCCAUAUGAAGAACUAACAUGGAUAUGAAAUCAUUCAUCAUAAAGCGUAAAGAACAACCAAGCCAACCAUAUGCAAAGCAUGAAUGGAAUGCAAUGAAGGUGCAAGAGAACAUUUUUGGAUGAACCCAUUAUGAUGAUGGCAAAAUGCGCCGUGCCCCCCAGCCCCCGCGGUGAGAUCCCGCCGCUCGCUGCCGCCAGACCCUAUUAGGCCUCCACCGGCAGGUCCACCCACGGUCCCGCGCGACGUGGCAGCCUCUUGGCUCUCGGCGCUCGCGGCACGCCAGUGCUGGCGCAGCCCCACCAGGCGACUACCCUCCCCCCAUAAGGCCUCGGCCCCUCCCCAGCGCCGCCCCCCAACACCAGGACUGCCUGCUGCCCCCCACCGUGAGGUAAUCGAAAUCGACUGCUCAAUCUCUCAAUCUGUUGAUAUGAUGCACACGGUUGCAAAAAUAGAUGUGUCAAAAUAGAUGUUUUGCCAAUUGCUAUAGAUGCAUACGGUUGACAUGAAGUCAAAAAUGACAUUUGGUUCCUUGUAGGCAGUCAAAAAUGAAGAAGUCAAAAAAUAUUGAUCUGAAAUCAAUGUGGGAAAGGGCUAUGAAGACACGCAGGUAGAUUCCCUUGUGAACUUUUUAUGUCGUUCGUCUAAAUAAUUUUUUGCAAUGGGCAUACCCUACUCUGAAAUCCUGGGUCCGCCACUGAUGAUGAUGGUCUAAAAAUAAACCAAGCCUAGAUUAAUUAGCCACAACUGAAAUUAAGCAAAGGUUAAUGUCAUUGACCCUAGCUCUAUCCUAGCUUUUACCAAAGUUCCGGCACAUAUAGUGGUUGGGCCCACUCUCUCUGCUUCCCUCUCUGCUGCAUGCACGCACACGAGCAACGGGAGGCCCGACGAAGCCCAGAAGGGUUCGGCCGAACCAGUAUGAGCGCCGCUCCCUCCCAGCCUUCGCGCAGAUGCUCCUCCAACGUUCCUUGACCCCUCCCUCAGCGUCCCGUUGGGUUUAACAUUGCAGGAGAGGAGUCCCUUUUUUAAAAUCUCAACCACCUCCUCUCCCCAUUCACUCCACUCUCAUCUCCAUCAAACUCACCAAGAUCCGCACCGGAAAUCCCUGCUUACCACCAUGGCUGGCAAAGCCCUCAUCCCUUUCACCAACUUGGGCUUGACCACUGAUCUCGAUGGGGAAAUCACUCUGGCAAAUAUGCGUGUAACACUGCCCCCUUUGCCGAGGGUUAAAGCCAAAACACUCAGCAAAGUGGAUAGUACCCCCCUUUUUACCCGUUUUGUCAUGUAUAACGGACCCCUCUCAAUUCACAAUAGACAUCAUCAUAGGCAUUUAUAAUAAACAAUCACAGGCAUAAUUCACAAUCACCAUUACAAGCAUUAUUCAUAAAUAUCACAGACAUAAUCCAAAGUAAGCAUGAAACAAGCCAUAAAUCCAAGUUCAAGUCACAACUAAGUUUCAUCCAAGUUCAAGUCACAAAUGCAAUGUCUAAAUCCAUGGAGGCCAAGGAGACCACUGCGACAAAUCUUGGUCUUCAUUAUUCGAAGCCGCCGAUUGAUUCUGCACAUAGGAUAGGACAUUCUGAGCUAACAUCUAAAGUUGUCAAAAUUAAAGUAUUCAAUCUUAAGCACAAUGUGUCAAAUGACUCACAGGAGUAGUUGUGGGUGGCUGAGGCGGAGGGAACAGCAUCGAUGGCGGUGGCAAAGAUUGACCCAUGCUCGAAGCAAAAUUCUGCAUGUACUGGAACAUCUGGUCCAUCCUCAUCCGAUUUUCUUCCUCCAUCCUCUGCCGCUCGGCCUCUAACCUCCGCUGAACCAUCUGCUCCAUCCUCGCCGCCAUCUCCUCUUGUUGCUUCCUUGCUGCUUCCACCUGGGCCUACAAUAUUUCAUUGCAAUGUUACAAUGCAAAGCUAAAGUAUAGCAACCAACGAACAAUGAAUGGAAGAGAAAGAACCUGGAGAGCCUCCAUCUGGAACUGUCCAAUGGUUGGUCGUAGCCGUAUCGCCGGGCUCGAGUCCGUGCUCCUUGCUUGGAUCUGGGAGAGAGUGGCAGUAGAGGCCGUGUUGAUUACGCCGUCGCCAAUCCAAUAUCGGCCAUGCUUCUUGCCUCCUCCCACCCUCAUCACGAUUUCUCCAUCAAUAUCCUCAGAGCUUGAAUCGAAGUCUGGCCCGUGAACCUCCCUUGCCAUCACUGUAUAUUCCUUUGCCGAGUGCCCGAGAUAAAGCACUCGGCAAAUAGAAAACACUCGGCAACUUUACUGUUUCCCGUAGUGUCGCUAUUUUUGCAGGUUCUCGACCAGGCCAGUUCUUUGGGCCAACCUAUCAUUCACGACUUAAACAUACGGUGGCUGUAGAAAUGUUCUAUUCUUUUCAACAAUACCAGCUGGUUCCUCCGUUUUUAUUCCACCAAUACAAGCACCACCUUGUAACAUUUCCUAUGUUUUUUUUUCCUUUCGUCUGUUUUCUACAUGCGUUGCUCUUUCAUGCAUUUUUUUCCAUUCCUGUAUUCCAAAUAGGUCUACAUGAACACAAAAUGAACUAGGGGACAGAAAAAGCCAGUGAAGCCAAUUUUGAGCUUCACCAGCUACUUGCUACAUAAAGUGUGCUAUAGUGACGUGUUUUAGCAAAACAUGUUAUCAAUGACUUGACAUUGGUGACGUGUUAAAACGCGUUAUCUCAAUGGCAAAUCAUUGGUGACGUGUUUUAAAAAAACAUGUCACCGUGAGAGUCAUUGGUGAAGGGUAAUUAUAAUGCGUCACUAAUGUUGUAGCAUUAGUUAUGAUAAUUUAGUAACGCAAAAAUCUACCAUCAGUAUUGAGCUUUAGAGCCAUCGCUAAUGUGGGUUUCUUACAUAGUGAUGCAAGCUCUACAAGGUGCUGUUGCUGCCAUUUUAAAGCAUCCCAUGACUACAUGUUAAUAACAUAGUUUACCAUAUAUCAUAAAAAUAUUAGUUACAAUAAGCACAUACGCAUGUGGAAGAGUCCGAAUGCACCGGUUGAGGACUAAACACAUUGAAUUACUAGAACCAAAUGUGUGUUUAGAACAAAGACAGGGGUCAAGGUUUGGGUAACCGCAUUAAAAACAUUGGAUUUUACUGUACAUGAACACUUAGUUACCAUUACCAUGCCUUGAGCACCUAGUUACAACAAACAUUAAUUUAGCCACUUUAGAGCUUCCAGAAUCGCUAUAAAUAAUAUACCUACGCCGUACCAUGAAAACAUCAAGAAGAGAGACGGAUACAUGGACCACCAUCAAGCGAGUAGUGACAGCACGCACAAGAAUACCCGGAACCUGUUAGCUUGUCUGUAGUGAUCUGUUUUCUUCCCCAUAAAAUCCAUGAGUAUUGCCACAAAUAAUGAAAGAGGCUGACCAAGCUAGCAAGGAGGUAGAGCAAACGUGAUACACGGCCUGCCAAGAUUGCCCUGGAUACGCCAAUAAGAGCGACAGAUACAUGGAUCACACCAAUAUGGUGAAACGUAUAUUCAUCACACAAGCAAAGCUGGUCAGUUUAUCCAUGGUCAAAUUGUGGUCUUUGUUUUCACUUGAGAGCUAAUUGAGGCACUAUAAUAUGGGCAGGCCUAUCUUCAACAGACAUGACAGCUACAGGGAACUUGACAUAAUUUGCUGGGCCGCCUGUGCACAAUUAUUUGUUUUAUUGUCCUUGCAUAGAAUGCUAAAAUACUCUUUACAAAAUGUUGGAUCUAAUAUUUGAAAUAUAGAGUAGUAAUCAUAUAUUGAUCAACAACUUGAAAUUAUCUGUACAUUCUCGGUGAAGCUGUUGAACUAAUUUUUGCAAAUUAUUAAUUCAUCUCAUUACGUAAAGAAAAAAGUAAGUGGAUAAGAUAUUUCGUGGACCACAUCACUGCAAACAUGUCAUGGAGAGACAGACCAAGGAGGCAGGACGUGAUACACGACUUACCCUAGGUUGCCGUGGAACCGCCAAGAAGAGAUACAGAUACAUGGACCACACCAUCUUGGGAGUAGUGACAGCAUAUAUGCAGAAGAAUACCCCGUGCCUAUUUGCAUGCAUGUCUCAAGUGAUCUGUUUUCUUCAGAAAAUACAUGAGCAUUGCCAGAAAGAAUGGCAAGAGACAAACAUGUCAUAGAGACUUGCAUGUCUUGCCUUGGAUACGCCAAGAAGAGGGACACAUACAUGGAUAACACAAAUCUAGUGACACGUAUAUUCAUCACAAAGGCAAAUCUGAUAAUUUUAUCCAUGGAGCAGACCAAGGAGAAAUUGAUGACGGACAUGUGAUCUCUGUAUUCAGUUGAAAGCUAAUUGAGCUACACUAAUAUGAGCAGGACUAUAUUCAAGAGACUUGUUGAGAGCUACAGGGAACUUGUAAUAAUUUGCUGGGCGGCCUGCGCACAAUGAUUUGUUAUACAUAGUUGAAAUAUUUCAAGAAUUUAUCAACCUCAUACUCUGAAACCCUUGGUGCAAUGUACUCUGCUUUCCGAGGUAGACUGUUCACGUAAAAUGAGGUCAUGCGUAAGACGGAAUCGGAUUGGAUUCACAGGGAAUCAGAUUUGGAUAGCACCUUUUAGCAGGUUUUUAGUCAAAUGCAAAUUCGGAUCCACAUGUGGUUGAAUGCGAGUUCAAAAUUCUACUUGGAUAUCCAUUUAAUUUAGGUGAUAGCAAUUAGCACAAAAUGUUGGAUGAACAAAAUCAUAGUUAGACAUACAAUUACAUGUAUGGUUAAAGUAUAAUACAAUACACCAAGAUUAUUCCUUGAAAAUAUUUCUUAAAAAUAUUAUAAUAAAUGAAUAAAUAUAAUUGUGGCCACCAACAAAUAGUCGGUGGUCGCUAAGUUGGAGCCAUUUCUGGUUACUAAUGCGGCCUUCUCCUCGACCAGCGACGACAGCUGAGCUUGUUCCUUCUGACACUAAAUCAUCAGAGUCUUCCCUCCACUACUAUAGAAUGCACCUUUAGCACCAAUUGGGAAAUCCCCUUCAGUAUUGGAUGCUGCAACCAGUGCUAUAUAUCAAAAUGGAGACUAAAAGCCUCGGUCUUGGGUACCGGUUGCAUAACGCAUUACUAAAGGAGGCAAAAGAGAAAUGUAACAAAAAAAAUAUUUUGAAUUCCAAGAAUGUUUCACUAUUCAAGAUGACUAGCUGAGAGUCAACAGACAAGAUACUAGGAAUGUGGGUGCUUGAAUGCAUUUGUACAGAGGUCAUACUAUUUACAAACUCUUCUAUGUUUCCAUAUGACUACCUACUUCAAUGUCACGCGAGCCAUUCAGCUGGACACAUGGCACACUAGCUUGCAUGUCGAAUCCAUGAUUAAUUAUUUCCACUUGUGAUCUCUUACCAGUAUUUGUCCAGACUAGAAACGUGCAACACAUUUUUAGGAUAUGGACACGCAUAUAUUUGGACUAGUAUACAGGUCACCUUUGGAUGCGUACAAGGAUGACCGGGAGGGACUAGAAAUGGUCUAGUUUUGAUUGGACUACAAAACUUUUUGUACAGUGAAUAGAGAAUAUAUAUUAUUGUUGGAAUACGAGGUAGGCUACACUAUCGCAAUUCUGAUAUUCUACCGCGUAUAACCAAGAAGAACUGUCGUAUAAGGAUCACGGGAUUACCACUCGACGCACUACUGGUGCGGAAGAUGUAGAUAUGCGUCGAUGCAGUGAAGACGAUCACGUAGUCGUAUGUAGUCGAUCAACGUAGUCGUACAUAGUCGAUCACGUCCAGCAGCUCCUCAGCAGCUCGUCCACGUGCAGCAAGAUCGCCUCCGGUACCGCGGCUCGUCGUUGGCUUGUCGUGGCUCGUCGACGGCUCGUCGGCGGCUCGUCCAAGUGCUGCAGGCGCAACACCUCCAAGGUAUCCACACGUGCAGGGAGGAAGCGUCGCAAGCCGGACUGCUAGAUCCACGAGUUGCAACAGGCGAGGGCGUGGGAGGCGCGGCAGGUGUGUUUCGCCAAAAAGGUGUAAACCCUAGGGCGCCCCCACCCCUCUAUUUAUAGAGGUUCCUGACGGGCCUCUGGAUCCGAGGCCCAUUAGUACUUCUAAACCUAAUCCAACUCGGAUCAGAUCCGAAUUGGGCUUCCAGCCCCUUAAGUGUGUGACCCUAUAAGUUCGGAUACGUAUAGACAUGGCCCGAGUACUCCUACUCGGCCCAAUAGUCGGUAGCGGCCUCUAGCAAGACGUGCCAACUCCUAUACGCACACGAAGAUCAUAUCAGACGAACCAUCACAACAUAAUAUACAUGCUAUUCCCUUUGCCUCACGAUAUUUGGUCUAGCUUCAAGCCGACCGCUCUUUCUCAGUCCUGUGAUUCGGAAUCCCUUUGUAGGUUAACUCUUAACCGUACGUAGCAUGGCCAUGCAUUUUCGGAUCUGAUCACUCGAGGGGCCCAGAGAUAUCACUCUCAAUCAGAGAGGGGCAAAUCCCAUCUUGAUUGACCAUGUCUCAUAGCAUGCUUCUUGACAAACCUAAAAACUACCUUUAUAACUUCCCUGUUACGGCGUAGUGUUUGAUAGCUCCUAAGUAGGUCGAUCCACAUCUAGAAUACAUGCGACAAUUUCAGGUCUAAGGACAAAGCGUAUAUGUUGUUUAAAGAGAGAACUACUUCUCGUGUUGGGUCAGUCCCAGCACAUGUCUCCACAUGUGUCCACAUUAUUAGUUCAACAUCUCCAUGUCCAUGACUUGUGAAACAUAGUCAUCAACUAAUACAUGUGCUAGUCUAAUAUUCAUGUGUGUCCUCACAUGAACUCCGACUAGGGACAACUUUAGAAUAACCAUACAAGUAAAGAGUUUCACAUACAAUUCACAUAAUUGCAAAUCAAUUCAAGUAGCCUUCAAUGGAUAUUCAAUGAACACAACAUACAAAUCAUGGAUACAAAUGGAAUAUCAUCAUCUCUAUGAUUGCCUCUAGGGCAUACCUCCAACAGUCUCCCACUUGCACUAGAGUCAAUCUAGAAGGUACCUAAUACCCAUAGCUCUUACAUGCGCAUCAUGCUUAGCCUGCGGGAGUGGUUUUGUCAACGGAUCAGAAAUGUUCAGAUCCGUGUGUAUUUUGCAUAUCUUGAUCUCACCCCGGUUAACGAAGUCUCGAAUGAGAUGAAAUCGCCGCAUUACAUGUUUGUUCUUCUGGUGGUUCCUUGGCUCCUUUGCUUGCGCAAUUGCCCCAUUGUUAUCACAGUAGAGAUUCAAUGGGCUGGACCCAUUCGGGAACACACCAAGCUCAAUGAGGAAAUUCCUUAUCCAAACACCUUCCUUCGCGGCUUCCGAAGCCGCGAUGUACUCGGCUUCUGUCGUAGAAUCGGCCACCGUCUCCUGCUUGGAACUCUUCCAACUAACAGCACCACCAUUUAGCGUGAACACAAAUCCUGUUUGUGACUUUGAAUCAUCUCUGUCGGUUUGGAAACUAGCAUCGGUGUAACCUGUUACAACGAGCUCCUCCUCACCUCCAUAGACGAGGAAUAUAUCUUUAGUCCUUCUCAAGUACUUAAGAAUGUUUUUCACCGCUGUUCAGUGACUCUCACCUGGAUCAGAUUGGUGUCUGCUUGUCAUACUUAGCACAUAUGAAACAUCUGGGCGAGUACUUAUCAUUGCAUACAUGAUAGAUCCAAUAGCCGAGGCAUAUGACACUCUACUCAUGUGAUCCCGCUCAUCAGCAGUCGAAGGACACUGAGUCUUGCUGAGAUGUAUGCCAUGUGACAUAGGCAAGAACCCUUCCAUGCUGAACCGCUUCAACACUUUGUCAAUGUAAGUAUCUUGGCUUAAACCUAUAAGCCUUCUCGAUCUAUCUCUAUAGAUCUUAAUGCCCAGAAUAUAUGCCGCUUCCCCUAAGUCCUUCAUCGAAAAACUAUUUUUCAGUGAAGUCUUUAUGGACUCAAGCAUAGGAAUGUUAUUUCCAAUCAGUAAUAUGUCAUCCACAUAUAAGAUUAGAAAUACUACAGAGCUCCCACUAACCUUCUUGUAAACACAAGACUCUUCUUCGUUCUUGGUGAAGUCAAACCCUUUGACCACUUCAUCAAAACGAAUGUUCCAACUCCUAGAUGCUUGCUUCAAUCAAUAAAUGGAUCUCUGAAGCUUGCAUACCUUUCCAGCAUUUUUCGGAUCGACAAAACCCUUGGACUGUAUCAUAUACACGUCCUCAGUUAGGUUUCCAUUCAGGAAAGCUGUCUUGACAUCCAUCUGCCAUAUCUCAUAAUCGAAAUAUGCAGCCAAACUUGAUUGUCUCCCAUGGACUCUAUUUCGGAUUGCAUGGCAUUCUGCCAUUUUUCGGAGUCUGGGUCCAUCAUUGCUUCUGCAUAUGUCACAGGCUCAUCAUUGUCCAACAAUAAUAUUUCCUGCAUUUCGCGGAGCCUUGCCGACCUUCGUGGUUGUGGCGGUGCUUCUCUUGCCAUGGGUAUCUCAACUUGUUCUGCUACGUUAGCAUCACUCAUUGAUUCUUGCCCGAUCGGCUCAUCUUGAACUUCUUCAAGAUGCACUGUCUUUCCACUCUUUUCUCCUUUGAGAAACUCUUUCUCUAGGAAAACCCCGUUCCGAGCGACAAACACUUUGCCUUCUGAUCAGUUGUAAAAAUAAUAUCCCAAAGUUUCCUUUGGAUAUCCCACGAAAAUGCACUUAUCCGACUUGGGUGCGAUCUUGUCCGACUGAAGUCGCUUGACAAACACAUCACAUCCCCAAAUCUUUAGAAAAGACAAACUAGGAACCUUUCCAGUCCAUAUCUCAUAUGGUGUCUUAACUACGGAUUUAGAUGGUACCCUAUUAAGUGUGAAAGCUGCUGUUUCUAGAGCGUAUCCCCAAAAUGACAACGGUAGGUCCGACUGGCUCAUCAUUGAUCGAACCAUGUCUAACAAAGAUCGAUUACGUCGCUCGGACACACCGUUUCUCUGAGGUGAUCCAGGCGGCGUAAGUUGUGGAACAAUUCCGCAACUCUUUAGAUGAUUGCUAAACUUGUGGCUCAAAUACUCGCCUCCACGAUCAGAUUGUAAGGCCUUAAUUUUCUUGACACGCUAAUUUUCAACUUCAUUCUGAAAAUCCUUGAACUUUUCAAAGGUUUCAGACUUGUGCCUCAUCAAGUAGACAUAGCCAUAUCUACUAAAAUCAUCAGUGAAAGAUAUGAAGUAUUGGAAUCCUCCUCUAGCCGUCGUGCUCAUUGGUCCGCAUACAUCACUAUGUACGAGUUCCAACAAGUCUACUGCUCUCUCAGGAAAUCCUGUGAAAGACGUCUUGGUCAUCUUGCCUAGCAAGCAAGCCUCACAUGUCUCGUAUGAUUCAAAAUCAAACGAAGUUAGAAGUCCAUCAGAAUGGAGCUUCUUCAUGCGUUUUUCACUUAUAUGACCCAAACGACAAUGCCACAAGUAGGUAGGACUCAAAUCAUUAGGCCGAGGCCUUUUAGCACUUACAUUACAGACAGGUGAACCAUCAAGAUUUAAAACAAAUAAUCCAUUCACAAUGGGUGCAAAAGCCAUAAACAUAUUAUUCUUAGAGAUCACACAACCAUUGUUUUCACUCGCAAAUGAAUAACCAUCCUUCAUCAAGCAUGAAGGAGACAAAAUGUUUCGACUUAAACUAGGAACAAAAUAACAAUUAUUCAACUCCAUAAUAAAUGCUGACGGGAGGUGGAGUUGCAUCGUCCCGACGGUCAACGCAGCAACUCUUGCAUUAUUGCCCACGCGGAAAUCAACUUCUCCUCUUUCCACGCUUCUACUUCUUAUCAUUCCCUGCAUCGAAUUGCAAAUAUGAGCAACCGAUCCGGUAUCAAAUACCCAAGAAUUAAUAAUUGUAUCAGCGAGAAAUAUGUUGUCUAUGACAUUAACAACAAGCGUACCUGAGGUAGAAGUACUCUUACUUCCUCCAUUCUUCAACGAAGCUAGGUACUGCUUGCAGUUUCUCUUCCAGUGACCAAGUUCAUGACAGUAAAAGCACUCUUUGUCUGGAGCAGGUCCAGGUCCAGCUUUAACCUUGGGCGCUCGCUGGGUUUGGCUUGGAAAUUCCAGCCUUGCCCUUCUUCUUCCAAGAAUUGCCCUUCUUCUUAAAGCUAGGCUUGUUCUGUAUAGCCAUCACAUGGCUAGUACAAGCGCUUUUCUUGAUGUCUACCUCUGCUGUCUUGAGCAUACCACACAGUUCAUUCAAACCCUUCUCCGUCCCAUGCAUAUGGUAGUUCGAGAUGAAGUUCCCAUAGCUAGGCGGAAGAGAUGAAAGAAUGAAGUCAGUGGCCAACUCUUUGCCCAUUGGGAAGCCCAGCUUCUCCAAUCGCUGAGUGUAACCAACCAUGUUGAUUACAUGUGGUCCUACUGCUGCGUCUUCUGCUAGCUUGCACUCCAGAAAAGCUUUGGACACAUUGAACCUUUCAGUCCUAGCCUGUGUCUGGAACAUGUCCUUGAGCGCCACGAUCAUAUCGUGUGCCUCAUGAUUUGUUUCGAACUGCAUCUGCAGCUCGGGUUCCAUGCAAGCAAGCAUAAGGCAGCUUACCUCAAGAUUAGCAUCAAAUGCCUUCUUGUAAGCAGCCUUAACGGCAGCAGAUGCAUCAUCAGCAGGUACUGGUGGUAGUGGGGUAUCUAGAACAUCUUCCUUUUUAUCGGCCCUGAGAACAAUUCUCAGGUUACGGAUCCAAUCCGAGUAGUUUGUUCCAUUCAACUUGUCCUUCUCAAGGACCGAGCGCAAAGCAAACGAUGUGGUGGUGUUGCUAGGUGCCAUUUAAUCUACAACAAAAGUAAUGCAAAAUACACUAAGACAAACGUAUCCAUGAUAGAGCAAAUUACAUUAAACUAUUUUAACAGAAUCUACUCCCACUAAAAUCAAUAUCCCUCUAUUGAAACUUAGUGAUUCAGGAUCCACAACUAACAAGUCUACUAGUGAGCUUUAGCAUCACCGCUAGCAAACGAGGUAGAUCGGUAAGCAACUUUUGCUAAUCAUAUCACAUAUGACUCCUGUUGUUGGGUGACAUCUCCAUGUCUCGGCGCCCAACCAUUAUGCCCCAAGGUCCUUAACCGUUAAGAUGACCUCGUUAAGCAAACCAACCCUUAUGCGUGUAAGUGUCCGACACAAACCCGUCUAGUCAAGGAAAACUAGUGGCACCCUAAUUUCAUAGACCCACCACUAAUUGUACAAGACAUGGGACGGUGCAAGUUUUAGUUGGGAGGGCAUACUAACUUAAAUUUUUUGUGAGGGAUCGUUCUACUUCUAACAUCACAGCAUGCAGAAAGUAAAACAUAAACAGAAUAGCAUUCACACAGCUGUGACACAGUAUGGCCCGUUUUUAUAUGGUGAUCUCCAUCUCCAUAGAACCUGUUCACCAUGGUGAUCUCCAUCUCCAUGUUCCAUGUGCGCCAUCCUCCUGGUGAGGAGUCCUCCAAGAACUAGAACAUGCUAUUACACCUAAUAGCUAGUAAAGAAUCUAGUAAUGAAGAUUACAUAGUUGCUUGGAUCAUCACAGAUUGGUACGCAGACCAUUAAAUACAAUAAAGUGACAACACAUAUGGCUCCUGCCGUGUUGCCGUACGCGCGACACGCAGGUCACGAAUGAGUUACACACAUGCAUCACAUACACAAGGGGGCCAUACUGAUCACAAGAUACAUACAUACAUCCUGCAAAACAGAGUUAGGCGUCCUAACGUUCCAAACUUCGAAGGCCCGAAACUCCAUCUUCCAAGCCGAAUUUGGGAAAUCUAAUUUUGCCGAAAACGGCAAAGCGGUUGAAUUUCAUGUGUAACUUUUUCUGUAGAUCAAUUUUCAUAUAAAAUUCGCCCCGAUCCGAGAUCGUACCGAAAAGUUACGGCUGAUUUACCGAAGCAUACGCAUACGGCAAAAAUUCCGACCCCGGCAGUAGAUCCCAUCUACUAUUGCACAUCUAAUGCGCCUGGCGUAUGAUCCUGGAUUUCGAUUCGACCAAUCAUAUUGAUCUUCGCUCACUGCAACUGGAAUUACGUGUAUCACUUAACUCGUCGGCGGCUCGUCGGCGGCUCAUCCAAGUGCUGCAGGCCCAACACCUCCAAGGUAUCCACACGUGCAGGGAGGAAGCGUCGCAAACCGGACUGCUAGAUCCGCGAGUUGCAAUAGGCGAGGGCGUGGGAGGCGCCGCAGGUGUGUUUCGCCAAAAAGAUGUAAACCCUAGGGCGCCCCCACCCCUCUAUUUAUAGAGGUUCCUGACGGGCCUCUGGAUCCGAGGCCCAUUAGUACUUCUAAACCUAAUCCAACUCGGAUCAGAUCCGAAUUGGGCUUCCAGCCCCUUAAGUGUGUGACCCUAUGGGUUCGGAUACGUAUAGACAUGGCCCGAGUACUCCUACUCGGCCCAAUAGUCGGUAGCGGCCUCUAGCAAGACGUGCCAACUCCUAUACACACACGAAGAUCAUAUCAGAUGAACCAUCACAACAUAAUAUACAUGCUAUUCCCUUUGCCUCACGAUAUUUGGUCUAGCUUCAAGCCGACCGCUCUUUCUCAAUCCUGUGAUUCGGAAUCCCUUUGUAGGUUAACUCUUAACCGUACGUAGCAUGGCCAUGCAUUUUCGGAUCCGAUCACUCGAGGGGCCCAGAGAUAUCACUCUCAAUCAGAGAGGGGCAAAUCCCAUCUUGAUUGACCAUGUCUCAUAGCAUGCUUCUUGACAAACCCGAAAACUACCUUUAUAACUACCCUGUUACGGCGUAGCAUUUGAUAGCCCCUAAGUAGGUCGAUCCACAUCUAGAAUACAUGCGACAAUCUCAGGUCUAAGGACAAAGCGUAUAUGUUGUUUAAAGAGAGAACUACUUCUCGUGUUGGGUCAGUCCCAGCACAUGUCUCCACAUGUGUCCACAUUAUUAGUUCAACAUCUCCAUGUCCAUGACUUGUGAAACAUAGUCAUCAACUAAUACAUGUGCUAGUCUAAUAUUCAUGUGUGUCCUCACAUGAACUCCGACUAGGGACAACUUUAGAAUAACCAUACAAGUAAAGAGUUUCACAUACAAUUCACAUAAUUGCAAAUCAAUUCAAGUAGCCUUCAAUGGAUAUUCAAUGAACACAACAUACAAAUCAUGGAUACAAAUGGAAUAUCAUCAUCUCUAUGAUUGCCUCUAGGGCAUACCUCCAACAAUUAUUUCAUGUAAAUUUUUGACAAUUUUUUAAAAUUGUUUGAUAUUUUUUAAAUUUUUUUUAAAAUAACUUUGCCGAGUGUCCUAUUGUAGACACUCGGCAAAGCAGCCUUCACCGAGUGUUACCCCUGGGACACUCGGCGAAUUAAUGCCCGGCCGCUCAAGAAUAUGUGCCCGGCCCCCUCACUCUCCCGGCCCCCCUCACUCUCACUCCCCUCACUCCCUCCUCUCUCCCUCCUCUCUCCCUCUCGCCGCCGCCCGAAACCCCCGCCGCCGCCCGCCGCCCGGCAUGCCGCCCAGCGCCCCCCGCCGCCGCCCGGCGCUCCCGAAUCCGCCGCCGCCCGCCCGGCGCCCGGCCCCCGGAUCCGCCGCCGCCGGCCGCCCGGCGCCCCCGGAUUCGCCGCCGCCCGCCCGGCCCCCGGCCCCCGGAUCAGCCGCCGCCCGCCGCCCGGCGCACGGCGCCCCCGGAUCCGCCGCCGCCUGCCCGGCGCCCGGCCCCUGGCCCCCUGAUCCGCCGCCGCCCGCCCGGAUCCGCCGCCGCCCGCCCGGCGCCCGGCCCCCGGCCCCCGGAUCCACCGCCGCCCCCCCGGCCCCCGGAUCCGCCGCCCGCCCGUCCCCUCCACCGGAUCCGCCGGCGCCGGGGCCUGAAGAGAAGAGAAGAGGAGAGGAUGGUGGCGGCGGCGGCCGCGGCGGCGGAGCAGGUGGCAGAGCAUGCAUGAUUUUUUUUUAUUUUUUCAAUAAUUGUUCGCCAAGUGUUUUCUGGGCACUCGGCAAAGUCUUUGCCGAGUGCCCGACACAAAACACUCGGCGAACCAGUGUUUGCCGUCAAGAUUUUUGCCGUGUGUCGUUUGCCGAGUGUUACACUCGGCAAACGCUUUGUCGAGUGUUUUUGGGGUUUCGCGGAGUGACCCUGGCACUCGGCAUCACGCAUGUUUCCCUUAGUGAACUUGAAAUUAUCUGUACAUUCUCGGUGAAGCUGUUGAACUAAUUUUUGCAAAUUAUUAAUUCAUCUCAUUACGCAAAGAAAAAAGUAAGUGGAUAAGAUAUUUCGUGGACCACAUCACUGCAAACAUGUCAUGGAGAGACAGACCAAGGAGGCAGGACGUGAUACACGACUUACCCUAGGUUGCCGUGGAACCGCCAAGAAGAGAUACAGAUACAUGGACCACACCAUCUUGGGAGUAGUGACAGCAUAUAUGCAGAAGAAUACCCCGUGCCUAUUUGCAUGCAUGUCUCAAGUGAUCUGUUUUCUUCAGAAAAUACAUGAGCAUUGCCAGAAAGAAUGGCAAGAGACAAACAUGUCAUAGAGACUUGCAUGUCUUGCCUUGGAUACGCCAAGAAGAGGGACACAUACAUGGAUAACACAAAUCUAGUGACACGUAUAUUCAUCACAAAGGCAAAUCUGAUAAUUUUAUCCAUGGAGCAGACCAAGGAGAAAUUGAUGACGGACAUGUGAUCUCUGUAUUCAGUUGAAAGCUAAUUGAGCUACACUAAUAUGAGCAGGACUAUAUUCAAGAGACUUGUUGAGAGCUACAGGGAACUUGUAAUAAUUUGCUGGGCGGCCUGCGCACAAUGAUUUGUUAUACAUAGUUGAAAUAUUUCAAGAAUUUAUCAACCUCAUACUCUGAAACCCUUGGUGCAAUGUACUCUGCUUUCCGAGGUAGACUGUUCACGUAAAAUGAGGUCAUGCGUAAGACGGAAUCGGAUUGGAUUCACAGGGAAUCAGAUUUGGAUAGCACCUUUUAGCAGGUUUUUAGUCAAAUGCAAAUUCGGAUCCACAUGUGGUUGAAUGCGAGUUCAAAAUUCUACUUGGAUAUCCAUUUAAUUUAGGUGAUAGCAAUUAGCACAAAAUGUUGGAUGAACAAAAUCAUAGUUAGACAUACAAUUACAUGUAUGGUUAAAGUAUAAUACAAUACACCAAGAUUAUUCCUUGAAAAUAUUUCUUAAAAAUAUUAUAAUAAAUGAAUAAAUAUAAUUGUGGCCACCAACAAAUAGUCGGUGGUCGCUAAGUUGGAGCCAUUUCUGGUUACUAAUGCGGCCUUCUCCUCGACCAGCGACGACAGCUGAGCUUGUUCCUUCUGACACUAAAUCAUCAGAGUCUUCCCUCCACUACUAUAGAAUGCACCUUUAGCACCAAUUGGGAAAUCCCCUUCAGUAUUGGAUGCUGCAACCAGUGCUAUAUAUCAAAAUGGAGACUAAAAGCCUCGGUCUUGGGUACCGGUUGCAUAACGCAUUACUAAAGGAGGCAAAAGAGAAAUGUAACAAAAAAAAUAUUUUGAAUUCCAAGAAUGUUUCACUAUUCAAGAUGACUAGCUGAGAGUCAACAGACAAGAUACUAGGAAUGUGGGUGCUUGAAUGCAUUUGUACAGAGGUCAUACUAUUUACAAACUCUUCUAUGUUUCCAUAUGACUACCUACUUCAAUGUCACGCGAGCCAUUCAGCUGGACACAUGGCACACUAGCUUGCAUGUCGAAUCCAUGAUUAAUUAUUUGCACUUGUGAUCUCUUACCAGUAUUUGUCCAGACUAGAAACGUGCAACACAUUUUUAGGAUAUGGACACGCAUAUAUUUGGACUAGUAUACAGGUCACCUUUGGAUGCGUACAAGGAUGACCGGGAGGGACUAAUGGAUACAAGGAAGGGACCAUCAGGAUUAAUAUUGACAUAUGCCACAUGACAAUCUUCAUUGUCAUGCAAUCCCUAUCAACAAUCAUGGAAUCCCUAGUGUACUAAUCCCUGGAGGGUUGUGUGGAAAUUUAUUUUACCUUGCGGUGAAAAUCUCAUGAGCAGUCAUUAGUUAAGCUGACUAGCUGAGAUAUAAUAGACAAGCUAGUAAGAUUGGGAGCAUCAAUGCAUCCAUACAGGGUCACAAUAUCCUUUCCAUUCACUUUUAUAUAUAACCCUACGAAUACAAGUCCAACGAAAUGCGGGCCUUUCGAUCAAGAUAAAUUAAAUGGCCCACUUGUAUUUCUAAUCCAGGAUUAACUAUGCCCUCUGUUCAUCUCUUGCAAGCACGUGCAACACAUUUUCACGAUAUGGACAUGCAUGGAGGUUAUUAUACUGUUUGGACAAACUCUGAUGUGCCAUGACCUAAAUGCUUAGGGCCUGUUUGGUUUGAGUUGCUUAUUAUAAGCAACUUAAAGUUGCUUAAAGUUGCUUAUUUGAAGUUGCUUAUUUUUAGUCUAAACUGUUUGGAUACCCUUGCUUAUGAGCAUUGAAUGAGUUGGACAUUGUCAAAUUUGCCCCAUGUGUUGCUACCCCUCCAAUUUGCCUCCCCACCCUUCUUCUUCCUGCACACGUCCGAUCCCGGGGGCCGACGGCGGGCAGGGAGCAGCAGCAGCUGGCCAGGGCGGCGGUGGGGCGGGAGCGGCGGCGCACACCAGCACGCGCUCGCACGCCAGGUGCUAGGGCGCGGCGAGGCAGUCGUCGUAGCCCACCGGGAGCGGGUGCUCGGGCGCGAGGCGGUACUCGACGGAGAUGCCGAGCGUCGGGCGCGCGGCGGCGAGCGCGUUGAGGAAGCGAUGGUAGUGCGGCGACGUCGCGGACUCCGCCACGAAGCCGCCGCCGUGGACGUACACCACCACGGGCAGCUUCGUCUUGCCGUCGGCGGCCGCGGCCGCGGCCUGGGGUGGCAGGUAGAGGCGGACGGAGCAGGAGCCGAGGUCGACGUCCCUGGAGUCGACGCCCGUGGCGGCGUCCAGGCUAGGCCCGACCGGCGGCGGCACGAGCGGGCGCUCGAUGCGGCCGCUCUUGUAAAUCCGACGGGUCUGUGCGGAGGCGGGCGGCGGGCGGGAGCGGCGGGUGGGAGCGGCGGCAGGUGGUGCGGAGGCCGGCGGCGGCGGGUGGCGCGGAGGAAGGGGAGCUGGUGAGUGGUGACAGGGGAGGGGGGGAGAGAGAGGGGGGGGUAGGGUGCAUUGAAUGAGGGCAGGAGGUGUAAAGUGCACCUUUUAGUCCCCAUGAGCAACCAUAAGCAGCCCAAGAGUUGCUUAUUUGCUUAUAAUAAGCAACCUCAUAAGCAAGAGUGAUUGGUUUCAUAAGCAACUUAUUUGCUUAUUUUAAGUUGCUUAUGCAUAAGCAUGUGAAACCAAGCAGGUCCUUAACCUAUGGUUGUGGCACCACACAGUACAUAGUAUUUAAUAAUGCUAUUCGUUUGGUAUGUGCACAAGGGCACGCAUGAAAUGUCUGGCCCACGGUAAACAAGUACGGACGCUGCAAAUAAUCUACUCUGCUCGUCCAGUCCCUAGCCUAUAAAUAGAUGCCAUGCUAGCUCUUGUUGUGCUCACAAUUAAUCCUGACUACACACGAGCUUCUCUCCCUGGCCAAGACACAAUCAUAGUAUGAUGAAGAACAUGGCACUAGCCGGCAAUGGUAUGAAGAACUUAAUCCUCGCUGUUCUCUUACUGUGUCUAGUUAUAGGGCAGAUACAAGUGGAAGCUAAGAGCUGCUGCCCAUCCAUUACUGCAAGAAAUAUCUACAAUGCCUGCCGUAUCACGGGUACAUCCCGUCCAACGUGUGCAAAACUGUCAGGCUGCAAAAUUAUCAGCGGGGACAAAUGCAAGCCCCCUAACGACCACCUCACCCUUGACCCGGACACUGGUAAAUAAUAAAUUUAUCUCACUUGAUUUCUUCGUGUUUUGAGUCGUUAAUGUAUUUUCCAUCUGAUGAAACGUAUUGGUUUUGCAUUGAAGAGGAAGUUAAUGUGCUUAACUUCUGCAAGUUGGGGUGUGCGUCGUCUGUGUGCAACAACAUCAACGCUGGUAAGCACCUUUUGCUCAGACGGAGAAAACAAUAAUCAUUAAUUAGCGGCAGCUAGAAUCCUAUAAUCUAAUAUAUUUAUAUAUAUAUAUAAUUUUAUCAGCUCUGGGAAAUGAAGAGGCGAACGAUGCCGUUGAGAGUUGCGACCAAGCCUGCUCUAGCUUCUGCAACGUGCACGUUGGCGCUGCCACCGUGGUUGCUUAAGCAAAUGCAUCCAACUGGAUCGUCCUUGUGCUAAAUAAUUGGAUAUCGUAUCCACUUAAAGCUGCCUUGUGUAGUACGUUUUUGUUUGUGUCUCUCUUUAUAUUCCAAUAAGGUCGGUGAUCUUGAUGCCACACACUCAGACGUGUGUUCAUCUCCAGAUACUACUCCAUGCUACCUGCCCUUUGUGUUUUGUUCAAUAACUGGGUAUCAUAUCCCAGCCAGUGUGCCAUCUGUUUUGUGUUUAUUUCCUUCUAGUUUCAAAGGGGUUAUCAUGAUGUUACCUUCUUUCGAUAUGGUGCUUUGCAUGACUACUGUUGUAUGGUACCAUCUUGUUGGCCAAUAAAUACAUCUUAUCCUAUGACCCUUUGCUAUGACCCUUUGCAAAUAAGUACAAGAUUGUUAAAUACUCGGUAUAAAUUGACUACUGCUGUGAGUUCCCUUUCAGCUUAUCGUAGGCAUACAUUAUUGCUAGCACGGUGAAGACAACCAACACGAAUGGUCAAGUAAACGUACCGGUACUUUUGUAUACCAACACCCUUGCUUAAAUGUACCGGUGUUACUCCCCACUAGCACAUAUAUUCUUAUAUGCUAGCCGGCUUGAAAAUUAACCGAUUAAAAUAAUUAUUUCAAGACAGAAAUAACUUAUCGGCUUCUCGAAGCAUGUGUAAUGUGAAUUCAAGGACUUGAUGGAAGUUGAAUCGCUUAAUCUAGAUUGCUUUCAGGAUUUUGGGUAACUAAAUUUAACAUUUGCACAUACAAAUGUUAAUGUACAAAUAUUAAAUAUAGUUACCCAAGCAGAAUAUGAAGAUACUCUAUAGUAUAUAUAUACUAUAUAAAUCUAGUUAACAUUUAGUCUAAAUGUUAAAUCUAGUUACCUAAAAUCCUGAAAGCAAAAUGUAUAAAUAUAUAUCUUUUAAGGAAUCCCAAAGCAAGAGUUCAGUGGCAUUCUAUAGUCCCAUGCUGCUAGUUUGAGUUGGUCGAAGCCAACUUAAAUAGGAGAGCUCUCUCACUUCUCUAAAUACGUAACUGAAGGAGAGAAGGGGGCUUGGUUACACAACGCACGCACGCACGCAUAUUUGCGUUCUUUUCGCGUAACCAACCGCGUGACUUGAAACUUGCGACGUAGCGUGCUGCCAAGUCAAGUUGAUAUAACCUUUUUGCCGUAGGCGUGUAAUCUUUUGACAACGGUCAUUGGAGGUGAUAAGCACGCAGUCAAUACCUUAAUCCUGAGUUAAUAGGGCGGUUACUACUGCCAAUUAGUGGGGCAAUUUUGUAGGGGAAACGGUUAGCAGAGGGCUACCAUCUUCUCUAUAAGAAGUUCUGGAGACGUCCAGGAACACACAUGUACAUGUGAGAGACCCACGAAUUCCUUCCCAUCUCCCUUUUCCAUCUGGUGAAGUGUGCUAUGGUACUGAGCUGCUGGAUCUCGCCGGCUCUUCUCCUUGGCGUGCACCGAGGAGGAGGGUGAGCGGUAUCUCCGAGCUAUUGCCGUCAGGAAGCCUGCACGAGGGACAACAAUAAAGUUUUUGGGUAGCGCAACUACGCAACCGCUCGAUUCGAUCGACUAUGUUCUGCGCUGCCUCAUCUUCGAUCUGCACUGCAACACGUAACCCUGCAGCAAGUCUACACAAGGACGGAGCACUAAUCUGUAAGUCCUAGAUUGGUUUCUUACAGAGUUGUAGGUUACACAAGAUCUAGAAUUGUUACAUACUUAUUAUUAUGGGUUACAUGAUGUUUUGUACGGUUACGUCUAUUUUGCAUAUGCUAUUUUUACAUACCGUUUACAUGCAUAUGUAAUGGUUACGCCUAGCUAUUUGAAUCUAGAAUUGGGUUACAUAGCAGUAGCAAUGACUUACGUAAUAUGCCUCAUGUUUAUAUCUGGUAGAAUUUAACACGUAUCUCCAACAUAUUUUGAGGCAGUAUAAAUUUCAAUUCCUUUUGCUGCUCUGUUAAAUCCCGUCUUUCGUGUGGCCCAACACUCUAGUAUGCAUGUAGCACCAAGCUUGUUUGAGCCGCUUUGUGCUCUGAUUUUGCUGUCUGUAUCAGGUUGGACUGUUUCUUUGUCUUGCGAUGUAUAGCUUCAUAUCUUCUAGAGGUUAGACAGCAAAACCCGCGUUCUCUUAAGGCAACAACUCGAAGAAUCUGCAGCGCUCCUGAUAUAUCACUGCUGCAGAAACAAUCUUUAGUACUGAUUUCCAACCCCCUUUAGUAUCGGUUUGGCAAUCAGUACCACUACGUCGGUACUAAAGGGAGUUCUCUAGAAUCGGGUCAAAUAACUGGUACUAAAAGUGCUCCUCUACUACCAGUUGGUAACACCAAUAGGUAGUAACUUUUUUUGCACCCAAAAAAUUAAAGAAAAACAGCCGGGAGGCUCGCGCACACACGCAUCAUGAGUAAUAUGCGCGUGCAUGGUUUGUGGGAUUCCAACCCACGACCAAGCUAUAAGCACGUAGUUACAAAAAAAUUAAACACUUAGACAUUUUAGAGCAUCCCAAAUAACUACAAAUUCUUUAGUUUACCAUAUACCAUAAAAUAUUAGUUAAAAUAAGAGCAUACGCACGUCGGAAGAGUCCCAAUGCACCGGUUGAGGAUCAGACCAGGCACUUUGAAUGCACAUGCCAUAAGAUAAUUCUGCAGGACGAUGAUUGCAAUAAUGGACCAUCGAGAAGAUAGGGGCGAUGGGGUUGCCUCAUCAAUUAUGACUUGGCGCAACAAGACCAGCAAAGUCUUUAUCGACAGGGGUGGAUCAAGGGGUGGGGCGGGUAGAGCUCCAAUCUUCCUACCGCCGCUCGAACAAUGGAGCCCCCCUUAGCCCCUCCAUAAAUUUUUAGGUAGAAGAAAAAAGAAGAGAAGGGAAGGAAGGGGAAGAAUAGGGAGCCCCUCCUAAGUAGGUCGCCAUCGUGCUUCCCAACGCAUGAUCGCCGCACCGCAUCCAUUCCUCUACAAGCCUCCAGCGUCUCUCCUGCCGCUACCUCUGAACCAUGUGCAGCUGCAGACCCAACUAGUGUCUUGUCACCCAUCUCAAUCCCAACAGAGCGGCGGCUCCUGCCAGCACAAAUCUCCCUCCGCCUGUUCUUCACGAUCGAUGGCCACCACAAGCAUAAACCUCGCCUUCGCAUCCACGCAAAAGGGUCGCCGGUGUGCCUUCUCGCAUCGCUUCUCAGCCUCCUUCACUUGCGGCUGGCCAAGAACCGUGCCACCACCUCGGGUGCGCGCCACCGCUCCAGGGCCGCUACCCCAUGCGUGCGGCCGCCGCCGGCCACCACGCGUGUGCAACCGUGUCGCACCGCUUCCCUGCUCUGUGCCACCACUGCUACUGCACCACCAGCUCCACCACCUUGGGCUGGUCGCCAGGGUGACUGAUUGGUGGAUUAUUACUACAAAUAAGUUCCUUAUUAUCUGCAACUACUAUUAACUCAGGGAUACAUGCGUCUUUUGCUUCUCCUGUUAAUAUGUCCUAAAAUAUCUAGAAUGCCUUAUAUUUCUGGACGGAGGAAGUAUUUGAAUAAAAUGAACCAAUUUUAAAAAAUGUGUUGUACACUACUACAGAAAGAACUAUCAGUGUCAAACCCAAAAAUGUCGUCACUGCCAGUUUUGGGCAUCGUUGGUGAAAGGUUGGCGGUGAUGGGUAUCCCCUUCAACAACGGCACUAGAGCUAACAGUGAUUGACAUUAGAAAACGAAAAAGGGGACCCACCUAGCCACCCCUGCAACCCGGCUGGCCGUGCCUCCCGUCAUCCCCACCACCUCGCCUCCCCCGUGACCCCCCGCCGGCGCCCUUGCGCCUAGCCCCCUCGCCUGCCUGGCCGGCCACCCUCGUCACGAGAGAGAGGGGUGCAUGUUGUAUAAUUGCGUGAAUUUUUAAUGUUUAAUUUCAUGUAAGUUUCAUAUAAUAAAUUGUACAAGUUUUAUUGUAUAUAUGAAUUCCAUAUAUAUAUAUUUAUAAUUUAAUGUAUGGUUUCAUGUGUAUAUUUCAAUAAUGUGUAUAUUUAGUAGAUAGCCGAUUUUCUUUUUCUACAAGACAAGGGUUGAUGUAUAAUUACGUGUAUAUGUUUAUUGUACGGGCAAUUAGGACAAGUUUUGUAUAAAUUUCUUUUAUUUCAUGGUUGUUGUAUGGUUUCAUGUAUAUACAUUUAUUGUACUACUUGAGACAAUUUUUAAUUUAAUGUUUCUAUGGUUACAUGUGUGUAUAACUAAUUGUAUUAUUAGUUAAGAUGGGAGCCAAAGAGGAUGAAAGGUAUAUAAUGGAGCAGAUUAUUGCUGGCGGUAGUGGCUCAAACGUUGCAAGAACCUACAUCAAGGGUGAGGGUAGCUAGGUGGACAUGUACCUCAACAUGUCCAGUGAUGGCAAUGACGAUGAGGAGCACGAGCAUGACGUUUAUGAUAGUGCGGAACAAGACAUUGCAGAAUUGGAAGGUUCUAAUGAGGUGUGCUUCAUGUUGAUGAUCUGGUUGGCUUUUUUUCUUUGGUCACACCUUAGUUACCAUAGAACUUCGUCUCGGGAGAAGAUUGGAGGUGCUAUGGUGAUUGGAAUUUUAUUGCCUCCAAAUAUGAUUUCCAUCGAAUCAUAUCCCUUGUAUUUAUCUUCUUUUUAUUUGUGAGAGCAUCUUCUUUAUGCUUGCAAAACAAUUCAAGUGCACAUACUACACCUAGGGUGAUGAUUAGGAGUAGAAACAAUUGCCAACAAACGAACACCACAUCCUAAGAUUCUUAACUUGUGGUAUAAUUAGUCUAGUAAAAAGAAAGAUAAAAACCUAAUGGGUGUACGUGAGUGCAAUGCGUAUAUGCAUAUGAGUGGAAGGCAUAUAAGCAAAGAUAAUAUUUACACAUAGAUCUAAGCACCAUGUUUACAACUAAGUUGCUGAAUUUCUCCAUAGCUAUAGAGAUUAAUGAACCAAGGUCAAAACACCAUGUCUAUCCCAAGAUCAGUAAUUCUUUAUAGCACAAGAAAAAGAAAGCGCAUUGCAAAGUUUAUAAACCAACCAAUGCAGCAUGAAAACAAGAUGAAUAGCUAGCAAGGUUUAUUAAACUGAAUGAUGACGGUCUGCAAGCAAGUUUGAACACCAUCUUUACACAAGAUUGCAAAUGGAAAAUUCCCAUAUGAAGAACUAACAUGGAUAUGAAAUCAUUCAUCAUAAAGCGUAAAGAACAACCAAGCCAACCAUAUGCAAAGCAUGAAUGGAAUGCAAUGAAGGUGCAAGAGAACAUUUUUGGAUGAACCCAUUAUGAUGAUGGCAAAAUGCGCCGUGCCCCCCAGCCCCCGCGGUGAGAUCCCGCCGCUCGCUGCCGCCAGACCCUAUUAGGCCUCCACCGGCAGGUCCACCCACGGUCCCGCGCGACGUGGCAGCCUCUUGGCUCUCGGCGCUCGCGGCACGCCAGUGCUGGCGCAGCCCCACCAGGCGACUACCCUCCCCCCAUAAGGCCUCGGCCCCUCCCCAGCGCCGCCCCCCAACACCAGGACUGCCUGCUGCCCCCCACCGUGAGGUAAUCGAAAUCGACUGCUCAAUCUCUCAAUCUGUUGAUAUGAUGCACACGGUUGCAAAAAUAGAUGUGUCAAAAUAGAUGUUUUGCCAAUUGCUAUAGAUGCAUACGGUUGACAUGAAGUCAAAAAUGACAUUUGGUUCCUUGUAGGCAGUCAAAAAUGAAGAAGUCAAAAAAUAUUGAUCUGAAAUCAAUGUGGGAAAGGGCUAUGAAGACACGCAGGUAGAUUCCCUUGUGAACUUUUUAUGUCGUUCGUCUAAAUAAUUUUUUGCAAUGGGCAUACCCUACUCUGAAAUCCUGGGUCCGCCACUGAUGAUGAUGGUCUAAAAAUAAACCAAGCCUAGAUUAAUUAGCCACAACUGAAAUUAAGCAAAGGUUAAUGUCAUUGACCCUAGCUCUAUCCUAGCUUUUACCAAAGUUCCGGCACAUAUAGUGGUUGGGCCCACUCUCUCUGCUUCCCUCUCUGCUGCAUGCACGCACACGAGCAACGGGAGGCCCGACGAAGCCCAGAAGGGUUCGGCCGAACCAGUAUGAGCGCCGCUCCCUCCCAGCCUUCGCGCAGAUGCUCCUCCAACGUUCCUUGACCCCUCCCUCAGCGUCCCGUUGGGUUUAACAUUGCAGGAGAGGAGUCCCUUUUUUAAAAUCUCAACCACCUCCUCUCCCCAUUCACUCCACUCUCAUCUCCAUCAAACUCACCAAGAUCCGCACCGGAAAUCCCUGCUUACCACCAUGGCUGGCAAAGCCCUCAUCCCUUUCACCAACUUGGGCUUGACCACUGAUCUCGAUGGGGAAAUCACUCUGGCAAAUAUGCGUGUAACACUGCCCCCUUUGCCGAGGGUUAAAGCCAAAACACUCAGCAAAGUGGAUAGUACCCCCCUUUUUACCCGUUUUGUCAUGUAUAACGGACCCCUCUCAAUUCACAAUAGACAUCAUCAUAGGCAUUUAUAAUAAACAAUCACAGGCAUAAUUCACAAUCACCAUUACAAGCAUUAUUCAUAAAUAUCACAGACAUAAUCCAAAGUAAGCAUGAAACAAGCCAUAAAUCCAAGUUCAAGUCACAACUAAGUUUCAUCCAAGUUCAAGUCACAAAUGCAAUGUCUAAAUCCAUGGAGGCCAAGGAGACCACUGCGACAAAUCUUGGUCUUCAUUAUUCGAAGCCGCCGAUUGAUUCUGCACAUAGGAUAGGACAUUCUGAGCUAACAUCUAAAGUUGUCAAAAUUAAAGUAUUCAAUCUUAAGCACAAUGUGUCAAAUGACUCACAGGAGUAGUUGUGGGUGGCUGAGGCGGAGGGAACAGCAUCGAUGGCGGUGGCAAAGAUUGACCCAUGCUCGAAGCAAAAUUCUGCAUGUACUGGAACAUCUGGUCCAUCCUCAUCCGAUUUUCUUCCUCCAUCCUCUGCCGCUCGGCCUCUAACCUCCGCUGAACCAUCUGCUCCAUCCUCGCCGCCAUCUCCUCUUGUUGCUUCCUUGCUGCUUCCACCUGGGCCUACAAUAUUUCAUUGCAAUGUUACAAUGCAAAGCUAAAGUAUAGCAACCAACGAACAAUGAAUGGAAGAGAAAGAACCUGGAGAGCCUCCAUCUGGAACUGUCCAAUGGUUGGUCGUAGCCGUAUCGCCGGGCUCGAGUCCGUGCUCCUUGCUUGGAUCUGGGAGAGAGUGGCAGUAGAGGCCGUGUUGAUUACGCCGUCGCCAAUCCAAUAUCGGCCAUGCUUCUUGCCUCCUCCCACCCUCAUCACGAUUUCUCCAUCAAUAUCCUCAGAGCUUGAAUCGAAGUCUGGCCCGUGAACCUCCCUUGCCAUCACUGUAUAUUCCUUUGCCGAGUGCCCGAGAUAAAGCACUCGGCAAAUAGAAAACACUCGGCAACUUUACUGUUUCCCGUAGUGUCGCUAUUUUUGCAGGUUCUCGACCAGGCCAGUUCUUUGGGCCAACCUAUCAUUCACGACUUAAACAUACGGUGGCUGUAGAAAUGUUCUAUUCUUUUCAACAAUACCAGCUGGUUCCUCCGUUUUUAUUCCACCAAUACAAGCACCACCUUGUAACAUUUCCUAUGUUUUUUUUUCCUUUCGUCUGUUUUCUACAUGCGUUGCUCUUUCAUGCAUUUUUUUCCAUUCCUGUAUUCCAAAUAGGUCUACAUGAACACAAAAUGAACUAGGGGACAGAAAAAGCCAGUGAAGCCAAUUUUGAGCUUCACCAGCUACUUGCUACAUAAAGUGUGCUAUAGUGACGUGUUUUAGCAAAACAUGUUAUCAAUGACUUGACAUUGGUGACGUGUUAAAACGCGUUAUCUCAAUGGCAAAUCAUUGGUGACGUGUUUUAAAAAAACAUGUCACCGUGAGAGUCAUUGGUGAAGGGUAAUUAUAAUGCGUCACUAAUGUUGUAGCAUUAGUUAUGAUAAUUUAGUAACGCAAAAAUCUACCAUCAGUAUUGAGCUUUAGAGCCAUCGCUAAUGUGGGUUUCUUACAUAGUGAUGCAAGCUCUACAAGGUGCUGUUGCUGCCAUUUUAAAGCAUCCCAUGACUACAUGUUAAUAACAUAGUUUACCAUAUAUCAUAAAAAUAUUAGUUACAAUAAGCACAUACGCAUGUGGAAGAGUCCGAAUGCACCGGUUGAGGACUAAACACAUUGAAUUACUAGAACCAAAUGUGUGUUUAGAACAAAGACAGGGGUCAAGGUUUGGGUAACCGCAUUAAAAACAUUGGAUUUUACUGUACAUGAACACUUAGUUACCAUUACCAUGCCUUGAGCACCUAGUUACAACAAACAUUAAUUUAGCCACUUUAGAGCUUCCAGAAUCGCUAUAAAUAAUAUACCUACGCCGUACCAUGAAAACAUCAAGAAGAGAGACGGAUACAUGGACCACCAUCAAGCGAGUAGUGACAGCACGCACAAGAAUACCCGGAACCUGUUAGCUUGUCUGUAGUGAUCUGUUUUCUUCCCCAUAAAAUCCAUGAGUAUUGCCACAAAUAAUGAAAGAGGCUGACCAAGCUAGCAAGGAGGUAGAGCAAACGUGAUACACGGCCUGCCAAGAUUGCCCUGGAUACGCCAAUAAGAGCGACAGAUACAUGGAUCACACCAAUAUGGUGAAACGUAUAUUCAUCACACAAGCAAAGCUGGUCAGUUUAUCCAUGGUCAAAUUGUGGUCUUUGUUUUCACUUGAGAGCUAAUUGAGGCACUAUAAUAUGGGCAGGCCUAUCUUCAACAGACAUGACAGCUACAGGGAACUUGACAUAAUUUGCUGGGCCGCCUGUGCACAAUUAUUUGUUUUAUUGUCCUUGCAUAGAAUGCUAAAAUACUCUUUACAAAAUGUUGGAUCUAAUAUUUGAAAUAUAGAGUAGUAAUCAUAUAUUGAUCAACAACUUGAAAUUAUCUGUACAUUCUCGGUGAAGCUGUUGAACUAAUUUUUGCAAAUUAUUAAUUCAUCUCAUUACGUAAAGAAAAAAGUAAGUGGAUAAGAUAUUUCGUGGACCACAUCACUGCAAACAUGUCAUGGAGAGACAGACCAAGGAGGCAGGACGUGAUACACGACUUACCCUAGGUUGCCGUGGAACCGCCAAGAAGAGAUACAGAUACAUGGACCACACCAUCUUGGGAGUAGUGACAGCAUAUAUGCAGAAGAAUACCCCGUGCCUAUUUGCAUGCAUGUCUCAAGUGAUCUGUUUUCUUCAGAAAAUACAUGAGCAUUGCCAGAAAGAAUGGCAAGAGACAAACAUGUCAUAGAGACUUGCAUGUCUUGCCUUGGAUACGCCAAGAAGAGGGACACAUACAUGGAUAACACAAAUCUAGUGACACGUAUAUUCAUCACAAAGGCAAAUCUGAUAAUUUUAUCCAUGGAGCAGACCAAGGAGAAAUUGAUGACGGACAUGUGAUCUCUGUAUUCAGUUGAAAGCUAAUUGAGCUACACUAAUAUGAGCAGGACUAUAUUCAAGAGACUUGUUGAGAGCUACAGGGAACUUGUAAUAAUUUGCUGGGCGGCCUGCGCACAAUGAUUUGUUAUACAUAGUUGAAAUAUUUCAAGAAUUUAUCAACCUCAUACUCUGAAACCCUUGGUGCAAUGUACUCUGCUUUCCGAGGUAGACUGUUCACGUAAAAUGAGGUCAUGCGUAAGACGGAAUCGGAUUGGAUUCACAGGGAAUCAGAUUUGGAUAGCACCUUUUAGCAGGUUUUUAGUCAAAUGCAAAUUCGGAUCCACAUGUGGUUGAAUGCGAGUUCAAAAUUCUACUUGGAUAUCCAUUUAAUUUAGGUGAUAGCAAUUAGCACAAAAUGUUGGAUGAACAAAAUCAUAGUUAGACAUACAAUUACAUGUAUGGUUAAAGUAUAAUACAAUACACCAAGAUUAUUCCUUGAAAAUAUUUCUUAAAAAUAUUAUAAUAAAUGAAUAAAUAUAAUUGUGGCCACCAACAAAUAGUCGGUGGUCGCUAAGUUGGAGCCAUUUCUGGUUACUAAUGCGGCCUUCUCCUCGACCAGCGACGACAGCUGAGCUUGUUCCUUCUGACACUAAAUCAUCAGAGUCUUCCCUCCACUACUAUAGAAUGCACCUUUAGCACCAAUUGGGAAAUCCCCUUCAGUAUUGGAUGCUGCAACCAGUGCUAUAUAUCAAAAUGGAGACUAAAAGCCUCGGUCUUGGGUACCGGUUGCAUAACGCAUUACUAAAGGAGGCAAAAGAGAAAUGUAACAAAAAAAAUAUUUUGAAUUCCAAGAAUGUUUCACUAUUCAAGAUGACUAGCUGAGAGUCAACAGACAAGAUACUAGGAAUGUGGGUGCUUGAAUGCAUUUGUACAGAGGUCAUACUAUUUACAAACUCUUCUAUGUUUCCAUAUGACUACCUACUUCAAUGUCACGCGAGCCAUUCAGCUGGACACAUGGCACACUAGCUUGCAUGUCGAAUCCAUGAUUAAUUAUUUCCACUUGUGAUCUCUUACCAGUAUUUGUCCAGACUAGAAACGUGCAACACAUUUUUAGGAUAUGGACACGCAUAUAUUUGGACUAGUAUACAGGUCACCUUUGGAUGCGUACAAGGAUGACCGGGAGGGACUAGAAAUGGUCUAGUUUUGAUUGGACUACAAAACUUUUUGUACAGUGAAUAGAGAAUAUAUAUUAUUGUUGGAAUACGAGGUAGGCUACACUAUCGCAAUUCUGAUAUUCUACCGCGUAUAACCAAGAAGAACUGUCGUAUAAGGAUCACGGGAUUACCACUCGACGCACUACUGGUGCGGAAGAUGUAGAUAUGCGUCGAUGCAGUGAAGACGAUCACGUAGUCGUAUGUAGUCGAUCAACGUAGUCGUACAUAGUCGAUCACGUCCAGCAGCUCCUCAGCAGCUCGUCCACGUGCAGCAAGAUCGCCUCCGGUACCGCGGCUCGUCGUUGGCUUGUCGUGGCUCGUCGACGGCUCGUCGGCGGCUCGUCCAAGUGCUGCAGGCGCAACACCUCCAAGGUAUCCACACGUGCAGGGAGGAAGCGUCGCAAGCCGGACUGCUAGAUCCACGAGUUGCAACAGGCGAGGGCGUGGGAGGCGCGGCAGGUGUGUUUCGCCAAAAAGGUGUAAACCCUAGGGCGCCCCCACCCCUCUAUUUAUAGAGGUUCCUGACGGGCCUCUGGAUCCGAGGCCCAUUAGUACUUCUAAACCUAAUCCAACUCGGAUCAGAUCCGAAUUGGGCUUCCAGCCCCUUAAGUGUGUGACCCUAUAAGUUCGGAUACGUAUAGACAUGGCCCGAGUACUCCUACUCGGCCCAAUAGUCGGUAGCGGCCUCUAGCAAGACGUGCCAACUCCUAUACGCACACGAAGAUCAUAUCAGACGAACCAUCACAACAUAAUAUACAUGCUAUUCCCUUUGCCUCACGAUAUUUGGUCUAGCUUCAAGCCGACCGCUCUUUCUCAGUCCUGUGAUUCGGAAUCCCUUUGUAGGUUAACUCUUAACCGUACGUAGCAUGGCCAUGCAUUUUCGGAUCUGAUCACUCGAGGGGCCCAGAGAUAUCACUCUCAAUCAGAGAGGGGCAAAUCCCAUCUUGAUUGACCAUGUCUCAUAGCAUGCUUCUUGACAAACCUAAAAACUACCUUUAUAACUUCCCUGUUACGGCGUAGUGUUUGAUAGCUCCUAAGUAGGUCGAUCCACAUCUAGAAUACAUGCGACAAUUUCAGGUCUAAGGACAAAGCGUAUAUGUUGUUUAAAGAGAGAACUACUUCUCGUGUUGGGUCAGUCCCAGCACAUGUCUCCACAUGUGUCCACAUUAUUAGUUCAACAUCUCCAUGUCCAUGACUUGUGAAACAUAGUCAUCAACUAAUACAUGUGCUAGUCUAAUAUUCAUGUGUGUCCUCACAUGAACUCCGACUAGGGACAACUUUAGAAUAACCAUACAAGUAAAGAGUUUCACAUACAAUUCACAUAAUUGCAAAUCAAUUCAAGUAGCCUUCAAUGGAUAUUCAAUGAACACAACAUACAAAUCAUGGAUACAAAUGGAAUAUCAUCAUCUCUAUGAUUGCCUCUAGGGCAUACCUCCAACAGUCUCCCACUUGCACUAGAGUCAAUCUAGAAGGUACCUAAUACCCAUAGCUCUUACAUGCGCAUCAUGCUUAGCCUGCGGGAGUGGUUUUGUCAACGGAUCAGAAAUGUUCAGAUCCGUGUGUAUUUUGCAUAUCUUGAUCUCACCCCGGUUAACGAAGUCUCGAAUGAGAUGAAAUCGCCGCAUUACAUGUUUGUUCUUCUGGUGGUUCCUUGGCUCCUUUGCUUGCGCAAUUGCCCCAUUGUUAUCACAGUAGAGAUUCAAUGGGCUGGACCCAUUCGGGAACACACCAAGCUCAAUGAGGAAAUUCCUUAUCCAAACACCUUCCUUCGCGGCUUCCGAAGCCGCGAUGUACUCGGCUUCUGUCGUAGAAUCGGCCACCGUCUCCUGCUUGGAACUCUUCCAACUAACAGCACCACCAUUUAGCGUGAACACAAAUCCUGUUUGUGACUUUGAAUCAUCUCUGUCGGUUUGGAAACUAGCAUCGGUGUAACCUGUUACAACGAGCUCCUCCUCACCUCCAUAGACGAGGAAUAUAUCUUUAGUCCUUCUCAAGUACUUAAGAAUGUUUUUCACCGCUGUUCAGUGACUCUCACCUGGAUCAGAUUGGUGUCUGCUUGUCAUACUUAGCACAUAUGAAACAUCUGGGCGAGUACUUAUCAUUGCAUACAUGAUAGAUCCAAUAGCCGAGGCAUAUGACACUCUACUCAUGUGAUCCCGCUCAUCAGCAGUCGAAGGACACUGAGUCUUGCUGAGAUGUAUGCCAUGUGACAUAGGCAAGAACCCUUCCAUGCUGAACCGCUUCAACACUUUGUCAAUGUAAGUAUCUUGGCUUAAACCUAUAAGCCUUCUCGAUCUAUCUCUAUAGAUCUUAAUGCCCAGAAUAUAUGCCGCUUCCCCUAAGUCCUUCAUCGAAAAACUAUUUUUCAGUGAAGUCUUUAUGGACUCAAGCAUAGGAAUGUUAUUUCCAAUCAGUAAUAUGUCAUCCACAUAUAAGAUUAGAAAUACUACAGAGCUCCCACUAACCUUCUUGUAAACACAAGACUCUUCUUCGUUCUUGGUGAAGUCAAACCCUUUGACCACUUCAUCAAAACGAAUGUUCCAACUCCUAGAUGCUUGCUUCAAUCAAUAAAUGGAUCUCUGAAGCUUGCAUACCUUUCCAGCAUUUUUCGGAUCGACAAAACCCUUGGACUGUAUCAUAUACACGUCCUCAGUUAGGUUUCCAUUCAGGAAAGCUGUCUUGACAUCCAUCUGCCAUAUCUCAUAAUCGAAAUAUGCAGCCAAACUUGAUUGUCUCCCAUGGACUCUAUUUCGGAUUGCAUGGCAUUCUGCCAUUUUUCGGAGUCUGGGUCCAUCAUUGCUUCUGCAUAUGUCACAGGCUCAUCAUUGUCCAACAAUAAUAUUUCCUGCAUUUCGCGGAGCCUUGCCGACCUUCGUGGUUGUGGCGGUGCUUCUCUUGCCAUGGGUAUCUCAACUUGUUCUGCUACGUUAGCAUCACUCAUUGAUUCUUGCCCGAUCGGCUCAUCUUGAACUUCUUCAAGAUGCACUGUCUUUCCACUCUUUUCUCCUUUGAGAAACUCUUUCUCUAGGAAAACCCCGUUCCGAGCGACAAACACUUUGCCUUCUGAUCAGUUGUAAAAAUAAUAUCCCAAAGUUUCCUUUGGAUAUCCCACGAAAAUGCACUUAUCCGACUUGGGUGCGAUCUUGUCCGACUGAAGUCGCUUGACAAACACAUCACAUCCCCAAAUCUUUAGAAAAGACAAACUAGGAACCUUUCCAGUCCAUAUCUCAUAUGGUGUCUUAACUACGGAUUUAGAUGGUACCCUAUUAAGUGUGAAAGCUGCUGUUUCUAGAGCGUAUCCCCAAAAUGACAACGGUAGGUCCGACUGGCUCAUCAUUGAUCGAACCAUGUCUAACAAAGAUCGAUUACGUCGCUCGGACACACCGUUUCUCUGAGGUGAUCCAGGCGGCGUAAGUUGUGGAACAAUUCCGCAACUCUUUAGAUGAUUGCUAAACUUGUGGCUCAAAUACUCGCCUCCACGAUCAGAUUGUAAGGCCUUAAUUUUCUUGACACGCUAAUUUUCAACUUCAUUCUGAAAAUCCUUGAACUUUUCAAAGGUUUCAGACUUGUGCCUCAUCAAGUAGACAUAGCCAUAUCUACUAAAAUCAUCAGUGAAAGAUAUGAAGUAUUGGAAUCCUCCUCUAGCCGUCGUGCUCAUUGGUCCGCAUACAUCACUAUGUACGAGUUCCAACAAGUCUACUGCUCUCUCAGGAAAUCCUGUGAAAGACGUCUUGGUCAUCUUGCCUAGCAAGCAAGCCUCACAUGUCUCGUAUGAUUCAAAAUCAAACGAAGUUAGAAGUCCAUCAGAAUGGAGCUUCUUCAUGCGUUUUUCACUUAUAUGACCCAAACGACAAUGCCACAAGUAGGUAGGACUCAAAUCAUUAGGCCGAGGCCUUUUAGCACUUACAUUACAGACAGGUGAACCAUCAAGAUUUAAAACAAAUAAUCCAUUCACAAUGGGUGCAAAAGCCAUAAACAUAUUAUUCUUAGAGAUCACACAACCAUUGUUUUCACUCGCAAAUGAAUAACCAUCCUUCAUCAAGCAUGAAGGAGACAAAAUGUUUCGACUUAAACUAGGAACAAAAUAACAAUUAUUCAACUCCAUAAUAAAUGCUGACGGGAGGUGGAGUUGCAUCGUCCCGACGGUCAACGCAGCAACUCUUGCAUUAUUGCCCACGCGGAAAUCAACUUCUCCUCUUUCCACGCUUCUACUUCUUAUCAUUCCCUGCAUCGAAUUGCAAAUAUGAGCAACCGAUCCGGUAUCAAAUACCCAAGAAUUAAUAAUUGUAUCAGCGAGAAAUAUGUUGUCUAUGACAUUAACAACAAGCGUACCUGAGGUAGAAGUACUCUUACUUCCUCCAUUCUUCAACGAAGCUAGGUACUGCUUGCAGUUUCUCUUCCAGUGACCAAGUUCAUGACAGUAAAAGCACUCUUUGUCUGGAGCAGGUCCAGGUCCAGCUUUAACCUUGGGCGCUCGCUGGGUUUGGCUUGGAAAUUCCAGCCUUGCCCUUCUUCUUCCAAGAAUUGCCCUUCUUCUUAAAGCUAGGCUUGUUCUGUAUAGCCAUCACAUGGCUAGUACAAGCGCUUUUCUUGAUGUCUACCUCUGCUGUCUUGAGCAUACCACACAGUUCAUUCAAACCCUUCUCCGUCCCAUGCAUAUGGUAGUUCGAGAUGAAGUUCCCAUAGCUAGGCGGAAGAGAUGAAAGAAUGAAGUCAGUGGCCAACUCUUUGCCCAUUGGGAAGCCCAGCUUCUCCAAUCGCUGAGUGUAACCAACCAUGUUGAUUACAUGUGGUCCUACUGCUGCGUCUUCUGCUAGCUUGCACUCCAGAAAAGCUUUGGACACAUUGAACCUUUCAGUCCUAGCCUGUGUCUGGAACAUGUCCUUGAGCGCCACGAUCAUAUCGUGUGCCUCAUGAUUUGUUUCGAACUGCAUCUGCAGCUCGGGUUCCAUGCAAGCAAGCAUAAGGCAGCUUACCUCAAGAUUAGCAUCAAAUGCCUUCUUGUAAGCAGCCUUAACGGCAGCAGAUGCAUCAUCAGCAGGUACUGGUGGUAGUGGGGUAUCUAGAACAUCUUCCUUUUUAUCGGCCCUGAGAACAAUUCUCAGGUUACGGAUCCAAUCCGAGUAGUUUGUUCCAUUCAACUUGUCCUUCUCAAGGACCGAGCGCAAAGCAAACGAUGUGGUGGUGUUGCUAGGUGCCAUUUAAUCUACAACAAAAGUAAUGCAAAAUACACUAAGACAAACGUAUCCAUGAUAGAGCAAAUUACAUUAAACUAUUUUAACAGAAUCUACUCCCACUAAAAUCAAUAUCCCUCUAUUGAAACUUAGUGAUUCAGGAUCCACAACUAACAAGUCUACUAGUGAGCUUUAGCAUCACCGCUAGCAAACGAGGUAGAUCGGUAAGCAACUUUUGCUAAUCAUAUCACAUAUGACUCCUGUUGUUGGGUGACAUCUCCAUGUCUCGGCGCCCAACCAUUAUGCCCCAAGGUCCUUAACCGUUAAGAUGACCUCGUUAAGCAAACCAACCCUUAUGCGUGUAAGUGUCCGACACAAACCCGUCUAGUCAAGGAAAACUAGUGGCACCCUAAUUUCAUAGACCCACCACUAAUUGUACAAGACAUGGGACGGUGCAAGUUUUAGUUGGGAGGGCAUACUAACUUAAAUUUUUUGUGAGGGAUCGUUCUACUUCUAACAUCACAGCAUGCAGAAAGUAAAACAUAAACAGAAUAGCAUUCACACAGCUGUGACACAGUAUGGCCCGUUUUUAUAUGGUGAUCUCCAUCUCCAUAGAACCUGUUCACCAUGGUGAUCUCCAUCUCCAUGUUCCAUGUGCGCCAUCCUCCUGGUGAGGAGUCCUCCAAGAACUAGAACAUGCUAUUACACCUAAUAGCUAGUAAAGAAUCUAGUAAUGAAGAUUACAUAGUUGCUUGGAUCAUCACAGAUUGGUACGCAGACCAUUAAAUACAAUAAAGUGACAACACAUAUGGCUCCUGCCGUGUUGCCGUACGCGCGACACGCAGGUCACGAAUGAGUUACACACAUGCAUCACAUACACAAGGGGGCCAUACUGAUCACAAGAUACAUACAUACAUCCUGCAAAACAGAGUUAGGCGUCCUAACGUUCCAAACUUCGAAGGCCCGAAACUCCAUCUUCCAAGCCGAAUUUGGGAAAUCUAAUUUUGCCGAAAACGGCAAAGCGGUUGAAUUUCAUGUGUAACUUUUUCUGUAGAUCAAUUUUCAUAUAAAAUUCGCCCCGAUCCGAGAUCGUACCGAAAAGUUACGGCUGAUUUACCGAAGCAUACGCAUACGGCAAAAAUUCCGACCCCGGCAGUAGAUCCCAUCUACUAUUGCACAUCUAAUGCGCCUGGCGUAUGAUCCUGGAUUUCGAUUCGACCAAUCAUAUUGAUCUUCGCUCACUGCAACUGGAAUUACGUGUAUCACUUAACUCGUCGGCGGCUCGUCGGCGGCUCAUCCAAGUGCUGCAGGCCCAACACCUCCAAGGUAUCCACACGUGCAGGGAGGAAGCGUCGCAAACCGGACUGCUAGAUCCGCGAGUUGCAAUAGGCGAGGGCGUGGGAGGCGCCGCAGGUGUGUUUCGCCAAAAAGAUGUAAACCCUAGGGCGCCCCCACCCCUCUAUUUAUAGAGGUUCCUGACGGGCCUCUGGAUCCGAGGCCCAUUAGUACUUCUAAACCUAAUCCAACUCGGAUCAGAUCCGAAUUGGGCUUCCAGCCCCUUAAGUGUGUGACCCUAUGGGUUCGGAUACGUAUAGACAUGGCCCGAGUACUCCUACUCGGCCCAAUAGUCGGUAGCGGCCUCUAGCAAGACGUGCCAACUCCUAUACACACACGAAGAUCAUAUCAGAUGAACCAUCACAACAUAAUAUACAUGCUAUUCCCUUUGCCUCACGAUAUUUGGUCUAGCUUCAAGCCGACCGCUCUUUCUCAAUCCUGUGAUUCGGAAUCCCUUUGUAGGUUAACUCUUAACCGUACGUAGCAUGGCCAUGCAUUUUCGGAUCCGAUCACUCGAGGGGCCCAGAGAUAUCACUCUCAAUCAGAGAGGGGCAAAUCCCAUCUUGAUUGACCAUGUCUCAUAGCAUGCUUCUUGACAAACCCGAAAACUACCUUUAUAACUACCCUGUUACGGCGUAGCAUUUGAUAGCCCCUAAGUAGGUCGAUCCACAUCUAGAAUACAUGCGACAAUCUCAGGUCUAAGGACAAAGCGUAUAUGUUGUUUAAAGAGAGAACUACUUCUCGUGUUGGGUCAGUCCCAGCACAUGUCUCCACAUGUGUCCACAUUAUUAGUUCAACAUCUCCAUGUCCAUGACUUGUGAAACAUAGUCAUCAACUAAUACAUGUGCUAGUCUAAUAUUCAUGUGUGUCCUCACAUGAACUCCGACUAGGGACAACUUUAGAAUAACCAUACAAGUAAAGAGUUUCACAUACAAUUCACAUAAUUGCAAAUCAAUUCAAGUAGCCUUCAAUGGAUAUUCAAUGAACACAACAUACAAAUCAUGGAUACAAAUGGAAUAUCAUCAUCUCUAUGAUUGCCUCUAGGGCAUACCUCCAACAAUUAUUUCAUGUAAAUUUUUGACAAUUUUUUAAAAUUGUUUGAUAUUUUUUAAAUUUUUUUUAAAAUAACUUUGCCGAGUGUCCUAUUGUAGACACUCGGCAAAGCAGCCUUCACCGAGUGUUACCCCUGGGACACUCGGCGAAUUAAUGCCCGGCCGCUCAAGAAUAUGUGCCCGGCCCCCUCACUCUCCCGGCCCCCCUCACUCUCACUCCCCUCACUCCCUCCUCUCUCCCUCCUCUCUCCCUCUCGCCGCCGCCCGAAACCCCCGCCGCCGCCCGCCGCCCGGCAUGCCGCCCAGCGCCCCCCGCCGCCGCCCGGCGCUCCCGAAUCCGCCGCCGCCCGCCCGGCGCCCGGCCCCCGGAUCCGCCGCCGCCGGCCGCCCGGCGCCCCCGGAUUCGCCGCCGCCCGCCCGGCCCCCGGCCCCCGGAUCAGCCGCCGCCCGCCGCCCGGCGCACGGCGCCCCCGGAUCCGCCGCCGCCUGCCCGGCGCCCGGCCCCUGGCCCCCUGAUCCGCCGCCGCCCGCCCGGAUCCGCCGCCGCCCGCCCGGCGCCCGGCCCCCGGCCCCCGGAUCCACCGCCGCCCCCCCGGCCCCCGGAUCCGCCGCCCGCCCGUCCCCUCCACCGGAUCCGCCGGCGCCGGGGCCUGAAGAGAAGAGAAGAGGAGAGGAUGGUGGCGGCGGCGGCCGCGGCGGCGGAGCAGGUGGCAGAGCAUGCAUGAUUUUUUUUUAUUUUUUCAAUAAUUGUUCGCCAAGUGUUUUCUGGGCACUCGGCAAAGUCUUUGCCGAGUGCCCGACACAAAACACUCGGCGAACCAGUGUUUGCCGUCAAGAUUUUUGCCGUGUGUCGUUUGCCGAGUGUUACACUCGGCAAACGCUUUGUCGAGUGUUUUUGGGGUUUCGCGGAGUGACCCUGGCACUCGGCAUCACGCAUGUUUCCCUUAGUGAACUUGAAAUUAUCUGUACAUUCUCGGUGAAGCUGUUGAACUAAUUUUUGCAAAUUAUUAAUUCAUCUCAUUACGCAAAGAAAAAAGUAAGUGGAUAAGAUAUUUCGUGGACCACAUCACUGCAAACAUGUCAUGGAGAGACAGACCAAGGAGGCAGGACGUGAUACACGACUUACCCUAGGUUGCCGUGGAACCGCCAAGAAGAGAUACAGAUACAUGGACCACACCAUCUUGGGAGUAGUGACAGCAUAUAUGCAGAAGAAUACCCCGUGCCUAUUUGCAUGCAUGUCUCAAGUGAUCUGUUUUCUUCAGAAAAUACAUGAGCAUUGCCAGAAAGAAUGGCAAGAGACAAACAUGUCAUAGAGACUUGCAUGUCUUGCCUUGGAUACGCCAAGAAGAGGGACACAUACAUGGAUAACACAAAUCUAGUGACACGUAUAUUCAUCACAAAGGCAAAUCUGAUAAUUUUAUCCAUGGAGCAGACCAAGGAGAAAUUGAUGACGGACAUGUGAUCUCUGUAUUCAGUUGAAAGCUAAUUGAGCUACACUAAUAUGAGCAGGACUAUAUUCAAGAGACUUGUUGAGAGCUACAGGGAACUUGUAAUAAUUUGCUGGGCGGCCUGCGCACAAUGAUUUGUUAUACAUAGUUGAAAUAUUUCAAGAAUUUAUCAACCUCAUACUCUGAAACCCUUGGUGCAAUGUACUCUGCUUUCCGAGGUAGACUGUUCACGUAAAAUGAGGUCAUGCGUAAGACGGAAUCGGAUUGGAUUCACAGGGAAUCAGAUUUGGAUAGCACCUUUUAGCAGGUUUUUAGUCAAAUGCAAAUUCGGAUCCACAUGUGGUUGAAUGCGAGUUCAAAAUUCUACUUGGAUAUCCAUUUAAUUUAGGUGAUAGCAAUUAGCACAAAAUGUUGGAUGAACAAAAUCAUAGUUAGACAUACAAUUACAUGUAUGGUUAAAGUAUAAUACAAUACACCAAGAUUAUUCCUUGAAAAUAUUUCUUAAAAAUAUUAUAAUAAAUGAAUAAAUAUAAUUGUGGCCACCAACAAAUAGUCGGUGGUCGCUAAGUUGGAGCCAUUUCUGGUUACUAAUGCGGCCUUCUCCUCGACCAGCGACGACAGCUGAGCUUGUUCCUUCUGACACUAAAUCAUCAGAGUCUUCCCUCCACUACUAUAGAAUGCACCUUUAGCACCAAUUGGGAAAUCCCCUUCAGUAUUGGAUGCUGCAACCAGUGCUAUAUAUCAAAAUGGAGACUAAAAGCCUCGGUCUUGGGUACCGGUUGCAUAACGCAUUACUAAAGGAGGCAAAAGAGAAAUGUAACAAAAAAAAUAUUUUGAAUUCCAAGAAUGUUUCACUAUUCAAGAUGACUAGCUGAGAGUCAACAGACAAGAUACUAGGAAUGUGGGUGCUUGAAUGCAUUUGUACAGAGGUCAUACUAUUUACAAACUCUUCUAUGUUUCCAUAUGACUACCUACUUCAAUGUCACGCGAGCCAUUCAGCUGGACACAUGGCACACUAGCUUGCAUGUCGAAUCCAUGAUUAAUUAUUUGCACUUGUGAUCUCUUACCAGUAUUUGUCCAGACUAGAAACGUGCAACACAUUUUUAGGAUAUGGACACGCAUAUAUUUGGACUAGUAUACAGGUCACCUUUGGAUGCGUACAAGGAUGACCGGGAGGGACUAAUGGAUACAAGGAAGGGACCAUCAGGAUUAAUAUUGACAUAUGCCACAUGACAAUCUUCAUUGUCAUGCAAUCCCUAUCAACAAUCAUGGAAUCCCUAGUGUACUAAUCCCUGGAGGGUUGUGUGGAAAUUUAUUUUACCUUGCGGUGAAAAUCUCAUGAGCAGUCAUUAGUUAAGCUGACUAGCUGAGAUAUAAUAGACAAGCUAGUAAGAUUGGGAGCAUCAAUGCAUCCAUACAGGGUCACAAUAUCCUUUCCAUUCACUUUUAUAUAUAACCCUACGAAUACAAGUCCAACGAAAUGCGGGCCUUUCGAUCAAGAUAAAUUAAAUGGCCCACUUGUAUUUCUAAUCCAGGAUUAACUAUGCCCUCUGUUCAUCUCUUGCAAGCACGUGCAACACAUUUUCACGAUAUGGACAUGCAUGGAGGUUAUUAUACUGUUUGGACAAACUCUGAUGUGCCAUGACCUAAAUGCUUAGGGCCUGUUUGGUUUGAGUUGCUUAUUAUAAGCAACUUAAAGUUGCUUAAAGUUGCUUAUUUGAAGUUGCUUAUUUUUAGUCUAAACUGUUUGGAUACCCUUGCUUAUGAGCAUUGAAUGAGUUGGACAUUGUCAAAUUUGCCCCAUGUGUUGCUACCCCUCCAAUUUGCCUCCCCACCCUUCUUCUUCCUGCACACGUCCGAUCCCGGGGGCCGACGGCGGGCAGGGAGCAGCAGCAGCUGGCCAGGGCGGCGGUGGGGCGGGAGCGGCGGCGCACACCAGCACGCGCUCGCACGCCAGGUGCUAGGGCGCGGCGAGGCAGUCGUCGUAGCCCACCGGGAGCGGGUGCUCGGGCGCGAGGCGGUACUCGACGGAGAUGCCGAGCGUCGGGCGCGCGGCGGCGAGCGCGUUGAGGAAGCGAUGGUAGUGCGGCGACGUCGCGGACUCCGCCACGAAGCCGCCGCCGUGGACGUACACCACCACGGGCAGCUUCGUCUUGCCGUCGGCGGCCGCGGCCGCGGCCUGGGGUGGCAGGUAGAGGCGGACGGAGCAGGAGCCGAGGUCGACGUCCCUGGAGUCGACGCCCGUGGCGGCGUCCAGGCUGGGCCCGACCGGCGGCGGCACGAGCGGGCGCUCGAUGCGGCCGCUCUUGUAAAUCCGACGGGUCUGUGCGGAGGCGGGCGGCGGGCGGGAGCGGCGGGUGGGAGCGGCGGCAGGUGGUGCGGAGGCCGGCGGCGGCGGGUGGCGCGGAGGAAGGGGAGCUGGUGAGUGGUGACAGGGGAGGGGGGGAGAGAGAGGGGGGGUAGGGUGCAUUGAAUGAGGGCAGGAGGUGUAAAGUGCACCUUUUAGUCCCCAUGAGCAACCAUAAGCAGCCCAAGAGUUGCUUAUUUGCUUAUAAUAAGCAACCUCAUAAGCAAGAGUGAUUGGUUUCAUAAGCAACUUAUUUGCUUAUUUUAAGUUGCUUAUGCAUAAGCAUGUGAAACCAAGCAGGUCCUUAACCUAUGGUUGUGGCACCACACAGUACAUAGUAUUUAAUAAUGCUAUUCGUUUGGUAUGUGCACAAGGGCACGCAUGAAAUGUCUGGCCCACGGUAAACAAGUACGGACGCUGCAAAUAAUCUACUCUGCUCGUCCAGUCCCUAGCCUAUAAAUAGAUGCCAUGCUAGCUCUUGUUGUGCUCACAAUUAAUCCUGACUACACACGAGCUUCUCUCCCUGGCCAAGACACAAUCAUAGUAUGAUGAAGAACAUGGCACUAGCCGGCAAUGGUAUGAAGAACUUAAUCCUCGCUGUUCUCUUACUGUGUCUAGUUAUAGGGCAGAUACAAGUGGAAGCUAAGAGCUGCUGCCCAUCCAUUACUGCAAGAAAUAUCUACAAUGCCUGCCGUAUCACGGGUACAUCCCGUCCAACGUGUGCAAAACUGUCAGGCUGCAAAAUUAUCAGCGGGGACAAAUGCAAGCCCCCUAACGACCACCUCACCCUUGACCCGGACACUGGUAAAUAAUAAAUUUAUCUCACUUGAUUUCUUCGUGUUUUGAGUCGUUAAUGUAUUUUCCAUCUGAUGAAACGUAUUGGUUUUGCAUUGA
rnacentral:lncRNA from 1 species